rnacentral:lncRNA from 1 species
UAUAUAUAUAUAUAUACAUAUAAUCUAUAUCUAUACCUACUAUUAAAGCAAGGUGAUAUUCUUAGUUCCGUCCCGCGAUUGAUUUUUUUUCCUGGCAGUUUUACAAAAAAGCCCCUCGGUUUACAUAAAUCAACCCGCAGUCCCUGUUUUAGUGGCAAUUUAGAAAAAUGUUUUGUUUUUGCGUAAAAAACCCCUGCAUUUGUUAGAAAUUAUACCCGCAACCCUUAUCUCUUAUUGGACUGGCUCACCACCGCGCCUCUCACCGCUUAUCCUGCCGUUCUCCAUGAGCGGGCACGCGCCGCCGCUUGCCACCGGCGUCGUGGCGGGCGUCCGCGCCGAGGCGGACAGGAGACCCAAGUCAAAGGCUGGUCAUGGGGAAGGCCUCGGCGGGAAGACUCGAGGAGGUCUCGAGCGCGACAGGGAGCUGGCCGGAGCGCACGGACAGUGGGGGGGCUUCCGUCGUCCAGGCACAGGCUGGAUACGGCCCCGCGGCGCGAGUGUGCCGGCAGCAUGGGGAGGGGAGGGCUGGAGCACGGGCGCGCACGCAUGGGAGGAAAUAGUCGUCCCCUGGCGCGGGGUCAACGGCUUGGGAGCGCUGACCGCAUCGACCCAGGCGGCGCGGCUACAGAGUGAUGCAGGGCACGGCAGUGACGGGUCACGGCACCGCGGGCGGCGGACGGAGCGACAGAGAGAGGUGGGGCGCGGGCGAGCUUGUGCUCGUGCUCGAGCGCCUGAAGAAGAUGGCGCGGCGGCGGAGUUGAAGCGCCUUGGCGAGCUCGGGCUACACGGCUGCGAGUCGGGCUUGGCGAGGAUGCAGGCAGCACGGGACGUCGAUGCCGAGAACUUGGAGGCGGGGAGCCGGUUCCCAGCUUUGGGAGCGCGGGACGACGCGAAGAACAGCAUCGGGUGGCGGAGCACUGCCUCUACACUUGAAUAGAGAGAGAGAGGGGGAGAUAUUCAGAGAGGAUGGAGCAGAAUUGAAAGGGGAAGAAGAGUGAAGGUGAGGGCGACGGGCAGGCAACCUGCGGGGGGCUCCGAUGGCGCGGCCGAGCAUGUGCGAGGACGAGGCACACCUCCCGCUCGAAGAAGAUGCCACCCCAACAUCACCACGAAUCGUGGAGGAGAGGAGUAAUAGCGGGCGAAUCAUGGAGAAGAGGAGUCGCAGAGGGCGCCGGCGGCCGCGGAGGCCCUGCCCCAUCGGCGCUGCAUGGGGAAGGAGGGGGCAGAGAGAGCGAGGCGUGGUGGGGUGGUGGGUUGGCAGAUCGGAGAAAGCCUUGGGAAGGAGGACGCGACUGAAUCAGGUGGAGGCGAGGCUGCUGACCCACGGGACCGGCGACUGGGGCGAACGGCCAGAUCAAGCUUCUGGCUGGGUUGGAUGGAGAAGAGGAAGAGGACCACGCUGGGACGGCGAUCUGGAUAAGAGAAGGAGAGGAGUGGCGAUGGGAUAAGGCAAGCAGUGGGCGGUCGGUGCUUUUCUUCAUGUUGUACCGGCCACACCAUAGAAGCUACUCGGUGCAUGCGUGCUAGCAUCGAUUAUUUAUUUUACGGAAGAGCACCGACUAUUCCUUGAUGUUGUUAGUUGUCACCACAUUAUCAGAUACUCCCUCUGUUAUAAAAUAAGUCUCUCAAUACAAUUUUAUACACAAUUUUAUACUCCCUUCGUUUCUAAAUUUAAGUGUAUUUAAAUUUUUUAAUACGGACUACAUGUGAAUAUAUAUAGGCAUAUUUUAAAGUAAAGAUUCACUCAUUUUGCUCCGUAUGUAGUUUAAAAAGACUUAUAUUUACAAAUGGAGGGAAUACUAUAGUUAAUACAAAGUUGGGACACUUAUUUUAAGACGGAGAGAGUAUACUAAUUAAAAGUGAGUGAAAUAUUAAAAAGAAACAUUUCUUAACAGAGAAGAUAUUUGAAGCUCGCAUGCACUUGCUAACCUUCAAGAUAUUCGUCAACUCUGGAUGUCAUGGAUGUCAUCGGUAAGAUAGGGAGGUGAGAGCGAGGGAUGAAGAAUAGAGAAAGUGCGACAACGGUGCAUCUUGCUUGUGCCAUGUUUCGCUCAGCACAACACCUAGGAGGGGGAGCACUACCCUCCAUUGUACAAUAUGCCCCACAGCUCUGCGUACAUAUUCCUGAUCCUCAUCGAGACCCGAUGAUAAUGGCCAGGGAAGUGGUCAUGUUGGUGUGAAGGGUGUGCUCCUACUGUUGGCGACAACGUGUCAACAAAAGAGUUACACGCAUUGUAAAUUCUUUACUUUCUGGUCAUCAUAUUUUUGAAGUGGGAAAACAUAAAUAUGAAUUAGUGUUAAUAGGGAUUGCGAUAUAUAGGAAUUAAUAUAUGACAUAUUUGAAACUAUUACAGGUGUGCGGAUGAUGCAUACUCUCACAUCGAAGGAGUAGCCGCUGAUCCAUAAAUGGUUAGAUUUUCAUAAUGAUUUUUACACAUAGUUGUUAAAUAACAACAACAUAUUACACAUAAUUCAAUUUAUUUAGAGUGAGUUAAAGAAGUACGUUUUAUGUUUAGAAAAAUAGAUUACGAGCUUUUGGAAUAUAAUAAAAUCUGCAUAAAGUGAAUCUUUAUGAGUCUUAUAACCAAUUUAAUUAGGAAAACUUAUUAUUCACCAUGACAGGUAAACACCUGAGCUUAAUACCACAUGAACUCUCAGAUUUAUUUUAUACCCGGUGCAACGCACGGGCACUUUUGCUAGUAUAAUAUAUAUAAUAUAGGGAAAGAUUUAUCAGGUCGGUUGGCAAGAUUAUCAGAAUUGCUUCCACCGUGAACCGCCGGUACCACGCUUGCUCUCCAUGAGAAUUGACAAAAUUACCAGACACGCACAAAGCCAAGUCCCAAUCAAGCCGUCAGAUGAGACUACGAAUCAGACACUAUUUGUGAAGGUCAAUAAGAAAUUGAUGAUUAACGAUAUAUCAGGUGGAUCACUGCAUCGUUCCACGACCCGGGAGCGGAUUGUCUGCGGGCUCGUACUCCUCGGAAGACCCGCCCCGUUGACGACCCGGACUCUGAAUCGCCCUGCUACCUCAACCCGCUGCUUCGCCGGCGCUUCGUCACUACUGCGCGCGCCUCCACAUUAUCAAAUCGCCGCGAGCCGCCGUCAUUACACGCUGUCGCCAGGUUGCCAUAGGUUCAACCCCAAGUCAUUGCCAUGACCUUCUGUCGCCGCGGGCUGCCGCGCUUGUCUUCAAGCCGGCUCCUCCAUGGCCGAGCCGCCUCCGAGAUGGCGAGUUAACGCCGAGCCGCCGUCACUGUACGCCGUCACUGAAGCUCGCCGAGCCAAGACCGCCGUGGCCCUGCCGGGUCAACACGCCCGCGUUAAACCGCCGUGAGUUGCCGAGCCGCCAAGCGCACCACAAACUACCGCAGGAUAUUCAUUUGAACAGGUAUGGGAUUAAACAUUCGCAUUGUGUUUAGUUGUAGGUUUAUCCGUGGUAUAAGUGUGAAACAAAUAGUAGUUGAAACGUACACUCCAUUUUGAACUUCAUUGCAAUUUAAAUGAGUUAUUUGACAUUAUUGUGAUGAAUAAUACGGCCUUCAAUGGAAAUGAUGGAAGUAACUCGCGUACUAUUUGUGGGCAUCAGGCCUUAGUGCCAUUUAAAUUUUAGCAUCGCAAUUUCAGGUAAGCUAGCUCCCUCCAGGGGUUAUAUCAUGAAAAUCUAGACCCAUUUAAAAGCUCCUUCCUUUUAGUUUACAAGGUUGGCACAUAUUAUCAUGUCAACUUUUACGAUCGUUUAGACCAGUGGUAUAUUUGGGUAAAUAAAAAUUUUAUCCUGUAUAUCACUUGUAUUCAUAAGAAAUACGUGCGGUCCGUCCAAACACAACUUAUUAAUCAUACUUGACCUAUACCUAUAUUUGGAAGAUUAUGUUAUUUUAUAGAAUAUCACACAUAUACCUUCAUACAACUUUUUUUCUAACUAAGUGCUAAUGUUUAUUGUAUUUAUCAUCGAGGUGUUUUUUUUCCAUUCUCACUUUACUUUUACUUUAUAAAUGUAUAUGUCACAAUGGUUUAUUUCCCGGCUAGAGGGAAUUUAUCUAGAUGACGUAGCUACAAUUAAUAUAGUUAAUAUAGUAUGCAUUCCAUGAUCUUGCUUUGCUCAGUUUAUUUGACCCAUUAGAUUUCUUAGUAGGAAUUCUCUUGCCAUUGACCUUAUUUCAAGUACACAAUAACUACAUACUUGCAAACUAAUCCAUCAUCAGGGGAACAAGGUACUACUUGCUUAACUGCAAUCUUUGCAUUUUAAGCUAAAUCAGCUCGAAAGAAAUUGACAUACUUUAGAAUGUAGUACUAAUAAAGAUACAUAAAGUUCAUAAGCAGGGAAUAUUUCUAUAUUUUAGAUAACAUAAAACAAUAUGCAAUCAUAAAGAAAGUAAAUUAAAUACAAAUUAGUGAGGCAUCACAAUUAUACAAAAAAUGAAAACAUACAUACAUAAAUAGUAGUUUUUUUUCAAAUAUGUCAAAAAUAAAAUUUAAAAUUACAAGGUGUUCCACAUGCGUAUCUUGGAACGGAUAGACUAUUUUUCAAUAAACUAGCCCGUGCAAUGCACGGGUUGGCGUCUAGUGCUUCUAAUUAGGGUAAAUUGCAUUUGCUUAGUUUACACAUUAUACCGGUGAAUAUGACAUGCUUUCCUAUUUUUGCUAUACACUACAUCUAUGUGUUACCCAUGUUCUUACAUGAAACUACCUAUCUUCUGUAUCCUGCAUCAAUCACUUACGAUGAGACACAUUUAUUCGUUGCAUAUUGUAUAUUAUUUCUUGCAUGUUGCUAUGUAUUGCUUCUAAUUUGGUCAAAUACAUUUGUUAGGCCACCCUUUUAAUUUGGCAGAGUGAUAUUUGUUUCAUCUUUCAUAUGGUUUCUAUCUUGCAUUACUUCUAACCAGUUCAAACACCUUGUGCUUAGUUUACACUUUAUACAUCAUACAUGUCAAUAUGUCAUGCCGUCCUGUUUUUCAUACAUAUUCCAUCCUCCUAUCAUGCGGCUGCCUUACAUAAAAAUAGCGUUCGUUAGUAUUAUGCAUCAAUGAGUUCUGAAGAGCAAAUUUUAUUCCCUUUUUCUUGUGGCUUUGACUUGACAAGGCAAAAUCAAAAAAGAGGAAGGAAAAGAGUAAGGAAGGUGAUGAUGGUGGUCCUGUGCAGCAAUAUAAACGAAGCAUCUGUACGGAUUCUCCUUGUAGUGCUAGUGCAUUACAAGUUCCAAGUCUCUGCUCCCCUACUCCACCAUCCAAGGUGCUUGCUCUAACUUGGCAGUGUGAUAUUUGAUUGCAUGUUGCAUAUGUUGUCUAGCUUGUAUUGCUCCUAAUUAGUGUAAACUGCAUCUGCUUAGCUUACACAUGAUACAUGUGAAUAUGACAUGCUUUCCUAUUCUUGGUACAUACUAUAUCUUUCUACCACAUCAUGUUCUUACAUGAAACUACUCUUCUUGUGUAUCUUGCAUCAGUCACAUAUGAUGGGACACUUUUAAGUUGGCAGUAUGAUAUUGGUUUGCGUCUUGAAUAUGAUUUAUAGCAUGUAGUGCUUCUAGUUUGAUGAACGCCACCUAUGACGAGGCAGUUUGAACUUGAUAGAGUGAUAUUGAUUGCACCUUCCAUAUGGUGUCUAGCUUGUAGUGCUUCUAAUUUGUUGCAGUGCCUUCUGCUUAGUUACCACACAAUAGGUGUGAAUAUGUCAAGCCAUCCAGUUUUUCGUACAUAGUCCAUCCUCGUAUCAUGACUAUGCCUUUCAUCAGAGUAGUGUUCGUCAGUAUCAUGCAUGAAUGAGUUGUGAAGAGCGAAUUUUAUUCCUUUUUCUUGUCGGUUUAACCUCAGAAUGCAAAAUUAAUAAAACGGAAGGAAAUUUGUAAGGCAUUGGAUGAUGGUGGUCCUUCCGCGCAACUGAAAUGGAGGGUCUCUACAGAUUCUACUCCGCCAUCCUCCCAACAAGAUUCGCAAUACAACGCAAGGCUAGAUAGUCAACAUAGCUGUGUAGAUGAUGAACACAUCUCCCCUACUCCACCAUCACAGGUGCUUGCUCUAACUUGGCACUAUUAUAUGUGGUUGCAUGUUGCGUAUGAUGUCUAGCUUGCAUUGCUUCUAACUUUGUUGAAUUGCAUCUGCUUACUUUACACAUAAUGCCUGUGAAUAUGACACGUGUUCCUGUUUCUUGAACAUACUAUAUCUGACCACACCAUGUUCUUACAUCAUACUAGUGUUCUUGCAUAUCCCAUAUCAGUCACUUAUGAUAAGGCACCUUUAAGUCGCCACUGUGAUAUUGGUUAUGUCUUGCAUAUGAUUUCUAGCAUGUACUGCUUCUAAUUUAUUGAAACGCCAGACAGUUUGAACUUGGCAGAGUGAUAUUGGUUGCACCUUUCAUAUGGUGUCUAGCUUGCGGUGCUUCUAAUUUAUUGAAAUGCCUUCUGCUUAGUUACCACAUCAUAGGUGUGAAUAUGUCACGUCGUCCUAUUUUUCGUACAUAUUCCAUCCUCGUAUCAUGUGUUUUCCUUUCAUCCAAGUAGUGUCGGAUUCCGGGUUCUGGCAAACCCUUGAGGUUUGAACUCUGGGGUGCGCACGAAGAUCUCUCUUUCCCUAGCUCACACUCGCAAGAAUCUCUAGGCCUAGCUCACCGAACCCAAGGAACAAGUGACAUGAGAGUUUAUACUGGUUCGGGCCACCGUUGUGGUGUAAUACCCUACUCCAGUGUGUGUGGUGGAUUGCCUCGUGGGCUGAGGAUGAACUAGUACAAUGGAUGAACGGACUCCUGAGGAGAGGUGUUCUUGAGCUCGAUGAGCUAGUGUGUCUAAGGAUGGUCUGAAUGAUCUGUCCCUCGAUGAGCUGAUCUUGACUACGGUGGUGGCUAGCCCUAUUUAUAGAGGCCCGGGUCCUCUUCCUAAAUAUAUAGGAGGGAAGGGAUCCCACAACGGCCAAUUUUGAAGGGAGACAACCAGUACAAGUUAUCCUGACAAAAGGUGGUCUUCGCCUGCCAAAGGCUCUGCUGGUGAUGCCGCCACGGGCUCUGCUGUGACCUUCGUCCUGCCGUCCUGCUGGUCUUUGUCUUGUUGCACCAAUAUGGCAACAUUUGCCUGAUGCCUCGGGACUCCUCGCCUGCGCCUGCCAAUUUAGCACCAAAGAGGAAACUGGCACCCUGCGCCUGCUGGCGCCCGCCUGGCCUUGGUCGUUAUGACUCACGUCACGCGGACCUCCCAAGGUGCCCCUUGCAUAGAUAUCUCCGCUCCUCGGGAGCCAGCUUAGCGAGGCCGCCCCGGAAGAGGUCUUGGUGUUGUCCGCCUCGCGAGGCUUGGACCCUCAUGAGGGUCUUGAUUGGUUGCUGGUGAAGAUGGGCCGUACCAGGCCGUUGGUGGAGCCACGCCCUGGGCUGCUGGCAGGAAAGUCUGGGUACCACCGUUCCCAGGACGCCGACAGUAGCCCCCGAGCCCAAGGCGCGCUCGGACUUGGCUUCGAGACGAAGCCAAAGGGAAAGUGCAUAGCACCGCAGGCCCCAACCGCCUGUGGCCCCGAUUGACACAUGGUGUUUGAUAGGUCGUGGGAGUCUCCGCUUCCCCAUGCUGGCUCGACAACUGCCCGACUUGACGAGACCCUGCUGCAUGCAGAAGAAAACCGUCAUUACCUUAGAUCGUGGAGGCCGGCGGUUGGCCUCCCUCUGGCUAUAAAUGAGGAGUGCCAUGGUCCCCCGACCUCCCCGUCCGCGCUUCCACUCGGCAGAGGUGCUGCCAGAAUUCGUCGCGUGGUCGGACAACCUGGCUGGCACAUGGCUUCAGCUUCCGUGGUCCUUUGCCGGCGAGCUGCCGGCCACGGGUCCUGGCGGCCUCUGGCUGCAGGCCGACGACUGCUGCAGCAAGGCUUCAUUGGUCGCGGUGGAGGUCUCCAUCAGGGGCAACAUAGCCCUAGCCCGCGGCUGGCAGACGUUUUCCCGUGCUCGCGGCCUGGGUAGGCGAUGCACCCUCCACUUCAAGUAAGACGGAGCCGCGACCCUCUUUGUGAUGGUGUUCGGGGAAGAUGGUCGCCGCGUCGGGUGCUGCCCUAAAGACAGCGAGGGUGACGGAGUGCUCGGCCUUGGCGAUGGCCGUGACGAGGACAAGGGCGGCCUCGCCCCCGACGACGGCCGUUGCUCGUCUGGCAACGACAACUCCUCCUCCAGUAAAAGCUCCAACAGUGGCGGCUAUGACUCGUCUCCCCAUCACCGGGCUCGCUUCGAGGACGGUGGAGGGUCGUCCUGUCGCCGCGCCCCAGUGAAGCGCGAGGAGGGCUCCAGCUGAGUCCAAGGGGGAGGGGUGAUCCUGGUGAGCAUCCGCGUCAUAGGAGCCGCUUUUGACAGUCUUUUCCUUUCCUCGUGCAUAUCAAGAAACAAGUAUGGGGCCCCGCGAGGGCGUGUAAUGAACCGCAGUGCUUAUGCUGCUUUGUGCUAUGUUUAUUGUUCAUGUGUUGUGUUAUGACGUUCGUGCUUCAUGUAGAGACAGAGGGGUAACUUAGCUGGAUGCGCCCAGGGUAGCUUCCUCUCUCGUGUGGGCGUGCCCUUUGGCACCUGGUGAGCCCUCCUUAUUGCUGGAUUGGGAGCCCUUGUCCUCGGGAGGCGUCAUAGGGCUGCAGAAAUUGUUAAGACGUUCGUCAGGUGCCUUGUCCUUCCUUGCGCGAGGCCUCAUGAUCAUGGCCCAGCGCACCAUGUCGCGGUACCCGUGGGGCACGAACUUAGGGGGGUGCGCCAACUGCGAGCUUAAUCGAGGGUGCCUCGCGAAGGUCAGGGGAGCCGAAGCUAUGGAGCGACAGGGCUUUGGCAAGGCGUGUCCGUGGCUUAGGUUAGCCCAGCGCAUGCACACACCUGCCCAGCCCCUGCAUGAGGCACGCGAGGGAGAGCGUCGGGCAACUGCCGCCCUCCCUGGUGCAAAACAAAGAACCGAGUGAGGAAGAAGAGAAAAGAAAGGGUUCAACCGAGCAAUAGAGAAACGCCAGAACUCCAAAUUCCAUAAAAAAGGGGGUGCAAACCAACUACAAAAAGCAAAUGAACAGCCGCGUAUGGCACCUAGUCUAGUCUUCUCACCAGCGCAGAGCUAAGUGCUGCCACUAGGACAUGGGAGGGAGCCCCCGAGGCCCGAGGGUGGCACUCCGAAGACUCCGGGGCAUGUACAGCCCCACUCAUUAUUACGUGCGAGUGUCACGAGCGGAGACCUUCACAUGCACUAGGCCUUGCUUCACGGGUAGAACUUCCGGAGGUGCUGGAUGUUCCAGGCAUUCUGGAUGGGGGUCCCGUCCUGCGUCUCCAGGCGUGCGGCACCAGGCCUGGAGAGGCGGGCAAUCCUAAAUGGGCCCUCCCACAUGGGCGACAUCUUAUGUAUCCCUUUCCUGGAGAGCACCCGCCUCGGGACAAGAUCGCCCACCUUAAGCAUCCUGGAUCAGACGUUGCAGCAGUGAUACUGCCACAUCGCCUGCUAGUACCUUGCCGCUGGUAGCGAGGCUUGGCAGUGGCGUUCCUCCCCCAGCACAAGGUCCAUCCCCCACAUGGUGUCCUGAUGCGUCUCAUCAAACGCCAGGACCUGCGCGGAGCGAUGCCUGACCUCGUGAGGGAGAACCGCUUCUGCUCCGUAGAUUAGGAAGAACGGGGUCUCACCCGUUGGCUUGGUGGCGGUGGUGCCGAUGGACCAUAGGACAGACUGGAGCUCGUCGUGCUAGCCCCUGCCACAGGCUUCGAGCUUCUUCUUGAAGGUCCUAGUCUUGAGGCCUCUCAAGACCUCCGCGUUGGCGCGGUCGGCUUGGCCAUUUCUCCUGGGGUGUGCUACUGAAGCGUAGCAAAUCUGCGUUCCAAGGUUAGCACAAUAUGUCUUGAAGAGAUUGCUAGUGAACUGCGAGCCGUUAUCGGUGAUGAUGCAGUUAGGGACCCCAAACCGGCUCACGAGGCCCUUGAUGAACUUAACUGCCGACCCAGCUGGGAUGGUGCGUAUGGCUUCCACCUCUGCCCACUUGGUGAACUUGUCGAUGGCAACGUAGAGUUAGCGGUAGCCCCUAGACGCUCGACGGAACGGACCCAGGAUAUCCAGCCCCUAGACCACGAACGACCACAUGAGAGGGAUAGUCUAGAGGCCCUGGGCCAACUGGUGGAUUUGCUGGGCAUGGAACUGGCAGGCCUCGCAGCCCCUUACUAGCUCAGCUGCAUCCUUGAGUGUCGUGGGCCAAUAGAACCCGCUGCAGAAGGCCUUGCCAACUAGGGUGUGCGACGACGAGUGAUGCCAGUAGUCCCCGACGUGUAUGUCAGCUAGCAGUUCGCUCCUGUGCUUCCUAGAGAUGCAUCGUGAAGAAAGAUCGUUUGGUCGUUUUGUGUACAGCUCACUGUCCUGAAUGCAGUACGUCGUAGCUUGCUGGGUCACACGGUCCGCAUCCUCCUCUUUCUCCGGCAGUGUCUCCCGCAGCAGGUAUGCCUUGAAUUGUUCAGUCCAGCACCCCUCCUAAGUCUCAAGCGCAAGGAGCGGGCGUGCUCCUGAGGUCGGGCCGCAGGCGGGAGCUCCUGAGGUUGGUGGUGGGGGAGCUCCUCCUGAGGCGGCAUAGGCUCCGCAGCCGGAGGGGCUGCUGAAGGCUUAAAGAGCCGCUCCCCGAAGACGCCAUGCUCCAGGGGCUGUCUCCUUGAUGCCCUCUUGGAGAUAUCAUCCGCAUCCUUGUUUGUGCCCCGAGGCACAUGCUGUAGUUCUAGGCCCAAGAAUUGCUUCUCCAUUUUGCGUACCUCCGUGAGGUAUGCCUCCAUGUGCUCGUCCCGAGGCUCGUAUACUUUGUUGGAAAAGUUGACGAGGAGCUAAGAGUCGCCCUUGAUGGUGAGGCGCUUCACCCCCAAGGCCGCCGCAGCCUUGAGGCCGGCGAUCAAACCUUCAUACUCUGCGAUGUUGUUGGAGACCUUCUCGCCCCGCUGGAAGCAGAGUUGCACGGCGUAGUAGAGUUUGUCCUAGGUGGGCAAUAUGAGCACGGCUCCAGCCCCCGUGCCCUGGCGUGUGAAAGCGCCGUCGAAGUACAUGACCAAGUCGUCUGGCGCUUCACUUCCUGGCGAGAGGGAUCGGUUCUCGCCUGCUUCAGGUUCCAGAGUGUCGGUCCAUUCUGCCACGAAGUCGGCGAGGGGCAGCGCCCUGGAUAACCUUGGUUGUGCUGAACUCCAGCUGAAACGCCUGCAGCUCUAUGUUCCAUUCGACAACUCUUCCCGCUGCGUUGGGGCUCUGGAGCACCCUCUCCAAUGGGUAGGCUGAGAUGACCUUAAUUGGGUGGCCUUGUAAAUAAUGACGCAGCUUGCGUGAGGCCACCAGGAGCAUGAGCAGGAGCUUCUGCGCAUGGGGUGUCGCGCCAUUGCGUCCCGUAGUACCGUGCUGGCGAAGUAGACCGAGUGCUCGACGAGGGCGAGAGCGUCGGUGGAGCCUCGUGGCCUCUGGGGGUUGUGGUGCCUCCUGAGGUAGGGUGACCAUAGGAGCUUGGUUGUCCACCAUGGCCUCUGCAGGCCCAGACACGCCGUCUUGUGGGGUCUGAUCGUCCGCGGAUGUCGUCGUGGCUUUAGUGGUGCCGUCCUGGAACCACUUCAUCUCGGUUGGAGGUACGACAUUACAUGGCGCAUCCUUGGCCUGUCGCUCCUCCUGGGCAGCCACCAACACCAUGGUGGCUGAGUGGGGCGUGACGGCCAGGUAGAGCACUAGGGGCUCGAGGGGUCGAGGCGCGACCAUCACCGGACGGCUGGUCAAAUAUCUCUUGAGGUCUGGAAACGCCAGGUCGACCUCUGGGGUCCACUCGAAUGGGCCCUUCUUCUUCAUCAGCUUGAAGAACGGCAGGGCGCGUUCUCCCAGCUUGGAGAUGAAGCGCCCCAACGAGGUCACAUAACCCACGAGCUUCUUCAUUUCCUCGCGAGUUUGGGGCGGGCUCAUGUCUUCUAUCACCUUGACGUUCUCCGGAUUUUCCUUGAUCCCCCUAUGCGAUAUGAGGAAACCCAGUAGCUUGCCCAAAGGGACGCCGAACACGCACUUCUCUGGAUUGAGCCAUAGAUCCACCUGUCACAGGCUGGCGAAAGUCUCCUCUAAGUCUUGUAUGAGGGUCCUCGCCUCCCAAGAUUUUACCAUAAUGUCGUCGACGUAGGCCUCAGCGUUCCUCCUGAGCUGCUGGCCCAGGGAAAUGUGCAUCAACUGCUGGAAGGUGGCCCCAGCGUUGCGCAGCCCGAACGACAUGCAGGUGUAGCAGUAUACCCUGCACGGGGUCAGGAAGGCCAUCUUCUCCAUGUCCUCUAGUGCCAUCUUGAUCUAUUGAUAACCCGAGAAGGCAUCUAGAAAACAUAGCAGGUCGCAUUCGGCGGUGGAGUCGACGAUCUGGUUGAUGCGCGGAAGUGGGAACGGGUCUUGAGGGCAGGCUUUGUGUGAGGUUGGUGAAGUUGACGCACAUACAUUCCUUCCCACCUUUCUUGGGCACAAUGAUGGGGUUCGCCAGCCACUCUGGGUACCGGACCUUGCGGAUGACACCCGCAGCUUGUAGCUUGCGGGUUUCCUAGAUGAUGAAGGACUGCUUCUCCGUGGACUGUCGUCGCGCCUUCUACUUCACAGGAUGCACAUUGGGGCACACCCUUAAGUGAUGCUCGAUUACUCCCCUUGGGACCCCCACCACCUGCUUGGGCUCCUAGGCGAAUACCUCCUUGUUCGCACGCAGGAAUAUCACUAGUGCCUCUUCUUGGACGGGAUCGAGGUUGGCGCCUAUGGUGAAAGUGGCUCCCGAGGCUCCAUCUUCCUCGAAUGGCACUUGCUUGGUUUCAGCCCGAUCUUGAGUGAACAACUGCUUCUUUUUUGCUGGCGCGGCCCCCUCAGCCCCCGGGGCGGCUUCAUCGGCUGGGCGUGCCGCCGCGACGGCCCUGAAGGCGAGCUUGAGAGUCGUCGAGGCUUCCUUGGUGUCCCCAGUCAUGAUGAGAACGUUGCUGCUCCCUGGCAUCUUCAUGAGGUUGUAGGCUGGAUGGGUUGCUUCCAGGAACUGAGCCAGGGCAGGGUACCUGAGGAUGACAUUGUACGGGAGGCCGAUGUGGACAAUGUCGAUGUCGAUCAGCUCGGUGCGGUAGUAGUGGCGGGUACCAAAGGUGACCGGGAGGCGUAUAUGCCCCAGAGGGCUGGUGGAGCCGAUGCCGACUCCAGAGAAAGGCUUGGUGGGGCGGAGCCGGCCGUAUGGUACGUGACGCAAGCCGAAAUCUUCCACGGAUAGCAUGUUGAGGCCGGCUCCUCCAUCGAUGAGGGUCUUGGUCACAGCCACGUUGCAGAUGGUGGGUGUGCAGAGCAUUGGGAGUGCACCUGAGCCCGUGGUGAUUGCUGGGUGGUCCUCCAAGAUGAAGGUGAGGUCGGCCUGGGGGGCCUCCCAACCUGGGGGAGCCCCCUGCUGCACGCGGGCAGCGCCCAGCUGGCAGUUAAACUGCUUGACAUGGUGAUCCAUGGGUGGUGCCCGCGAUCCACCAAGGAGGGCUGCUACGGCAUGGGGCGCCUGUACCGUGAAGCGCGCGAUGAAGAGAUCGCGCAGCUCCUCCCAGGAGGCUACCGAUGAUCCUGGCAGACUGAGAAGCCAGGCGCGCGGUAUGCCAGUCAAGGCCAGGGGGAACCAGUUGGCCAUGACCUGACUGUCGCCUCCGGCUUCGAGAACGACCUCCUCGUACGCCUGUAGGAAGGCCGCUGGAUCUGCCGCGCCGUCGUAGCGGGGCGGCAUCUCUGGCUUGAACUUGCAUGGCCACUGCACCUAUCGUAAAGCGAGGGUGCAUCUGCAGGGGCCCGCCGGCCUAAUUGUAGGAGCGGCGCCUACCAUGGGAGCGGGAUGAAUCAAGCGGAGAGGCGAAGCUUCGGCGCACCCCUACCUGGCGCGCCAAAUGUCGGAUUCCGGGUUCUGGCAAACCCUUGAGGUUCGAAAUCUGGGGUGCGCACGAAGAUCUCUCUCUCUCUCCCUAGCUCACACUUGCAACGAUCUCUAGGCCUAGCUCGCCGAACCCAAGGAACAAGUGACACGAGAGUUUAUACUGGUUCGGGCCACUGUUGUGGUGUAAUACCCUACUCCAGUGUGUGUGGUGGAUUGCCUCAUGGGCUGAGGAUGAACUAGUACAAUUGAUGAACAGCCUCCUGAGGAGAGGUGUUCUUGAGCUCAAUGACCUGGUGUGUCUGAGGAUGGUCUGAAUGAUCCGUCCCUCGAUGAGCCGAUCCUGACUACAGUGGUGGCUAGACCUAUUUAUAGAGUCCUAGGUCCUCUUCCCAAAUGUUUAGGCAGGAAUGGAUCCCACAACGGCCAAUUUUGAAGGGAGACAACUAUUACAAGUUAUGACUGGUCUUCGCCUGCCAAAGGCUCUGGUGGUGACGCCGCCGCGGGCUACGCGGUGACCUCUGUCCUGCCGUCCUACUGGUCUUGAUCUUGCUGCACCGAUAUGGAAACCUUUGCUUGAUGCCUCGGGACUCCUCGCCUGCGCCUGCCCCAUUAGCACCAAAGAUGAAACUGGCACCCUAUGCCUAAUGGCGCCCGCCUGGCCUUGGUUGUCAUGGCUCACGUCACAUGGACCUCGCGUGGUGCCCCUUGCAUAGAUAUCUCCGCUCCUCGGGAGCCAGCCUAGCGAGGCCGCCCCAGAAGAGGUCUUGGUGUCGUCCUCCUCGCGAGGCUUGGCCCCUCGCGAGGGUCUUGAGUGGUUGAUGGUGAAGAUGGGCCGUACAAGGCCGUUGGUGGAGCCACGCCUGGGCCGCAGGCAGGCAAAUCUGGGUACCCCCAUUCGGAGGACGCCGACAAGUAGUGUUUGUCAGUAUCAUCCAUGAAUGAGUUCUCAAGAGCGAAUUUUAUUCCUUUUUCUUGUCAAUUUGACUUCACAAUGCAAAAUCAAUACAGCUAAAGGAAAUUAGUCCGGCAAUGGAUGAUGGUAGUCCUUCAGAGCAACUCUAACAGAGGGUCUCUACAGGUUCUACUCCGCCAUCCUCCCAACAAGAUUCCCAAGACAACACAAGGCUGCACAGUCAACGUAGCUGUGUAGAUGAUGAGCACAUCUCCCCUACUCCACCAUCACAGGUGCUUGCUCUAACUUGGCACUAUUAUAUGUGGUUGCAUGUUGCGUAUGAUGUCUAGCUUGUAUUGCUUCUAACUUUGUUGAAUUGCAUAUGCUUACUGUCGGUGUCAAAACCGGCGGAUCUCGGGUAGGGGGUCCCGUUCUAUGCGUCUAAGGCGGAUGGUAACAGGAGGCAGGGGACACGAUGUUUACCCGGGUUCGCCUCUUGAUGGAGGUAAUACCCUACGUCCUGCUUGAUUGUUCUUGAUGAUAUGAGUAUUACAAGAGUUGAUCUACCAAGAGAUCAGAGAGGCUAAACCCUAGAAGCUAGCCUAUGGUAUGAUUGUAUGUUGUCCUACGGACUAAAACCCUCCAGUUUAUGUAGACACCGGAGGGGGCUAGGGUUACACAAGGUCGGUUACAAAGGAGGAGAUAUACAUAUCUGUAUUGCCUAGCUUGCCUUCCAGGCCAAGUAGAGUCCCAUCCGGACACGGGACGAAGUCUUCAAUCUUGUAUCUCCAUAGUCCAACAGUCUGGCCAAAGGAUAUAGUCCGGCUGUCCGAAGACCCCCUAAUCCAGGACUCCCUCAGUAGCCCCUGAACCAGGCUUCAAUUACGAUGAGUCUGGCGCGUAGUGUUGUCUUCGACAUUGCAAGGCGGGUUCCUCCUCCAAAUACACUACGGAAGAGUUUGAAUACAAGGAUAGUGUCUGACCCUGUAAAAUAAGCUCCACAUACCACCGUAGAGAGAAUAAUAUUUCCACAAAUCUAAUCCGCUGACAUGUUUUGGCAGCAUGACAUCACGCCACGGCCCGGUCAUUAUUUGAACGAUAACGCGAGGCGGUUUCCUUAACAUGUCUUGUCAAAGCAGAGAUCGUGUUCCCCUUAUCACGAGAUUCUCAUUAAUACGAACGUGAGUAACCCAACCAUACCUGUUGGUAUGACUCCUAGAUCUUAGGUAAGUCUCAAACGGCCACGAGGAGGACGCCUGAUAUUCACCCUCUUUAUAAAGGGGACAAGGUUUUUUCUUUUUUCCCUCUCGCGCUCAAUUGAAUCCUUCCCCCGCCUCGAGUUCUAACACCAAAAGCUCAGGUCAGGUGCUUCGGACCUUCAAUCAUGUCCGGAUCCAGCCUUCAAGGCCGGUGGAUGCCUUCCUCUGUCACAGAGGAGGACAUCAAGAAGUUGAGGGAGGCCAGAUAUCUGACCGCCGAAAUUUCGCAUAGGCUGCCGGCCCGAGGGCAGGUCGUCCCUACUUCCGAACCCAACGAGAGCGUUGUGUUUGUCUCCCACUUCCUCCGAGGACUAGGGCUCGCUCUGGAUCCCUUCGUUGGGGGUCUUAUGUUCUAACGGGCUGGAUUUUCAUGAUCUAGCCCCGGAUUCCCUUCUUCACAUCUCGUCAUUUAUUGUCGUAUGUGAGGCCUUCCUCCGCAUUACCCCUCACUUCGGCCUAUGGCUCAAGACCUUCGAUGUGAAGCCGAAGACGGUCGAAGGGCAGUACGCAGUGUGCGGAGGUGCUUUAAUAAGCAAAAUUGCUGACGCUCCAUGGCCAAAGGGUUCCUUUCCAAAGGUGUCCAGAUUGUGGCAGCGGGAGUGGUUUUACGUCACAGCUCCCCAAAGCGCCAAAUGGGUAGCUGCCCCCACUUUUCGCUUGGGCCCCCCACCACAACUGAUGUCAUGGAUCAGCAGGGGGCUGAGUUGGGGUCCAGCCAAGGACGUGCCAAUGCUGCAGAGCCAUAUCUGAGAUCUCUUCGAGGGAGAUUUCAGUCUGGUUAUGGUAAUGCAAGUUAUGCUGGUUCGUCAAGUCCAGCCUUGCAAACGCCGGCCCCUCCGCAUGUGGGAAUUCAACUCGGAAGGACCGCGCACUACUUAGCAUUUUCUCAGCAUGACGCACGAGGAGAUGUACAAAUCGUUCUUCGGACCCCAAAUAGAGUGUCCGGACACCAUCGAGGACGUGGGCCUGAGCUGCAACCGCCCCGCUGCCCAAGUAAGUAAUCCUAUGGCCGAACACACUGUCCUUUUAUUUAUCAUGACAUCAUUCUGAAGAAUUGCUUUUUGACCAGGACUGGAUAACAAAGGCGAAGAUGAUCCGGUGUUCGGCCCCCCUUCCUGAGGGUUUGGACAAUCCGGUGCUGGAAAAGAUGCUCGAGCCAGCACCUUGCCUAGUGCCCUCAAAGGAAGAUGAAGGGGGAAUAAAGAGGGCGAAGGUGGGCCUCCUUCGCUACCUAUUCCAACCGAGGGAAUGAGCGCCUCCGCGAGGGAGGAUAACCAAGGGGAAGAAUCUGACAUUCUCUUUCCCCGGGGAAGGAAGAGGGCUACCUCUGAAGAUCCGGAAACUAAGGUUUCCAAACGGGAGAAGAAAUCUCAGCCAGAGGGUCCUGCCUCAGAUUGUAUUCUUGCCGCACAAUGUCCGCGCGGGGAUCAGCCCUCAACCGAGUUGUAAGUAAUUAAAAAGUACUUAAUAGUGAAUAUAUCCUUGUCACACCCUAGCUAGUUCAUGCAUUAGAGUGAUUGCAUCAUGUUUAAAUUUCCCAGAAAAAUGAAAUGGGGAUGAUAUAACCCCAGCACCCCCCUUGGAAUAACUUGGGUUUACUAAAAACUUUUUCAAUGAACCUGAAAUGCCCUUCUAAAAAGUCCACCCUUUUUGUUUUGGGUGAAAACCUUUGACAAAAAUGGUGCACACUUUUCUAGGAAAUCUUAAGGUCAUUGGAUUAAAUCAUUACGAUUUGAAUUUGGGAAAUUUAAAUCCUAUAAAUAUUUUAAAAUGCCCAAAUAACCCUGAAAGUAUUUUUAGGCUGUUGAGAAUAUUUUCAAAUGUGCCUCUGAAUAUUUCCAGGUUUUUCCUAAAUGAAAUAGUAUUUUUACUAUUUCAAAACACAGAAUAGGAAGAAAUAAAAAGAAAACAAAAAGCAGAAAGAGUAGAGGCUUACCUGACGCCCACCUAGCAGGCCCACCUGCCGGCCCAGCCCAGCCACCACUCCAGCGAGCUACUUGGCUUGGCCAGGUAGGCAGGCAGGUGCUCGGCGCCUGCACCCGCGCGCGCCACGCAGCUAGCUGCCGCCCCGCUUCCUCCCCUUGCAGCGCUACUGCCCUGGUUCGAUCACACACACCUCUCCCGAGCUCGCAGACACGCCUCUCUCUCCCCAGCUCCUCUCCCUCGCUCUCCCGCACAAUGGCCGACGCUGCCGCGCCCGCGCCACCGUGCUAACCGCGUCCGCCGUCGUCCCCAUGUCGCGUCACCGUGUCCACUAGCUCCGCCAUCGUCGACUACGUCGAGCAGGCCGAGCCCCGAGCGCUCUCCCGCUCUGGAGUCGCCGCUGACCCCGUCUCCCCCAACUCCAGCCGCCGAGAUCGCCAUCGUCACCCCGCUCAGCUCCGGCCUUCCCCGAGCCCGCUUCGACGCUUGCUGCAAUCGCCGUGAGCCCAGCUCCAUCCUCCCCCUCUCCAUUAACUCCCUCCUGCACCGUGUGCAACGCACCACGCUCACCCGAGCACCCACCGCCGCCGAGCUUGUCGCCGGCGUGACUCCGGCCACCCACCGGCCACACCUUUGCGACCAACGCACUCACCGCACCCGCAGGAGCCCGUAGCACCACUCCACGCGCCUCGCCGUGCCCCAUAGCCUCGGUUUUCGACCUCGCCCAAACUCCGGCGACCGCCAAGGUCGUCGCCGGUGACGUUUCCGCCCACCCUAGCUCCACCCACUGCCACCACUCGAUGCGGCUUGCUCCCAGCUACGCGUAGAGCCUCUCCGCCGCGCAAAUGGUCGCUUGUGGGCGUUUUCCGAAGCCCUCCGCCGCAUCUGACGUCGCAGGCGUCAAACCACCGGCGAGUUGACCUCGUUUGACCUGGGGUUUAACUCCCCUGGGUCAAUGACAGGUGGGCCCAGAGCCCUGCUAAUUUUAAUUUAGCACUAAUUAACUUUUAUUUAACCCAAUAGGUCACUAACAGAUGGGGCCCACCAGUCAGGUUUGACCUGGGCUGGCGCCUUUGACUCGCUGACGUCACAGUGAUGCAGUGCUGACGCAGUUAAUUAUUUCUGGAUUUAUUCUUAUAUAGGAAAUUCCAGAAAAUAGCCAAAACUUCUAAAAAUCAUAAAAAAUCAACCAUGGCUCCAAAUCAAACAAAUUAUAUAUGAAAAAUGAUCAGAAAAAUUCAAUCUUUCCAUAUGUAAUGGUUUCAUGCAUGACAAAACACUUUAACCUUGCUGUUUAGGUGAAACAAGCUAAUACACUUAUAAUACAUAAGAACUUAAGCUUCCAUUUGAAUCUUUGAUUCAAAUGGACCCAUUUCAACUUGUUUCCCAUUGCAUUAGGCAGGACACCUCAUUUUGCCAUGUCAUAGCAUGCAUCAUAUUGUUGCAUAUUGCCAUGUGUUGAUUAUUUUCUGUGGUGUCUUUCGUGGUAGGUUCUGCCUCCGAGGAUAUCUCCGAGUAUCCAACUGAAGGGCAGUACCCUACUACUACUCCAUCAGGCAAGCAACCCCAUUGAUCAUAUCGAUACAAACCCUUGUUCUCGCUUCUGCUCUCACUUACUGCAUUAAGACAACAACGUUUCAAACUGCUGUGUGCUGCGGUAGUUGAACCCUUAUCCUCUGCAUGACCUGUCAUUGCCACAGUAACUAGAUGAAACCCACUAGCAUGUGUAGGAGUUGAUUGAGCCAUGUAUGUGUUUGCUACCUUGCUAUGCCUGCUAUGCUUAGAGUUGUGUCAGGUCUGGUUCAUUUGGGCGAUGGGCUAGAGUGAAAUGAUUAUGUCGGUAAUGUGAGAGAUGUGUUGAACAUGAUUUGGUAAAGGUAUCGAUGAGAGGCCAUGUAGGAGUACAUGGUGGGUUGUUUCAUUGAGGCCGUCCCUAAGAACUGAGAUCUGUAUGUGUGAUUUAAGAAUCAGCUACUACCAUACAUUGGGCCCGAAACCAAUGGACCCUCUCGGCUUCUUAAUCACCCUAGUACUCUGUCCAGGAGUUGCAACUAGUUUUUGGUGUUUGUAGGUUAUGUGUUGGCGGCCGUGCGUAGCGCUGACCAUAGCGGUGGGCUAUGAUGCGGUAGAUACACCGUGGCCGGGUAUGCCGGGCGCCCGUUUGGCGUCUCGGGACCCUGUUCACAUCGUUCGGGGCCGUAUGUGGAAACCUCGGCCGGACUCCCUACGGAUGGAACCUGGAUAGGCGAUAAACCUGGAGUAGAGACUUGAGUGUUUAGGUAGGCCAUGGUCGACACCCUCGUUGGGCUUCCGCUUGAAGGUUGCCGAGUACAUGUCGUGUAAACGACGAUAAGUGGUGAGAGCGUGUAUGAAGAAGUACACCCCUGUAGGGUUAACAUCAUCUAUUCUCUUAGCCGCAUCCGCAGUAAAGGACUACUUGGUUGCCUAUACAGUUCAUAGACAAGUUAAUGGUUACUACUAAAAGACUCAAGAUAAGUGUGAGUACCGAGGAUGGCCCUCUCGUAGGAUGACGAGGGAGGAUCCCCGGUGGAGUAUUGUGUUGGUGAUUAGUGGACUCAUGUGAGAAAACAUUUUACUAGUGGUGUCUCGUAGGAUAGCUUAGCCAAGAGUCAAAGUUGGCUUGCUGCAAUAACUCCACCACCUUCUUGAGAAUGAGCAUGUAUAGUAGGUUCUGUUGUAAGACUUGCUGAGUACCUUUGUACUCAUGUUGCUUUAAUUACUGUUUUUAGACGACAACACUGCCCCCUCCGAUGGGUUUUAUGUAGACCUCGACGUCGAUGAGUAACUUGCCACCCAGGUGGUGAUCCUGGCCAUGGAGGGCCUAUGUAGAUAGACAGGCUUUGACAAGCCUCCUUUCUUUCUAGUGUCUGUACUCAGACUAUUUGCUUCCGCAUGUGCUUGUAUGCUUGUAUGACUUGAGUGUCCGGUCAUGUGACCCCUACCUGUAUGAACAAGUUAUGUAUGGCUCUCUGGAGCCUUUAAAUAAAGUACUUGAGUUGUAGAGUUUUGUUGUGAUGCCAUGUUGUAUUUGCACAUAUCGAGCAUAUUGUGUGUAUGAUUGAAAUGCUUGGUAUGUGUGGGAUCCGACAAUCUAGUUGUUUAUCCUUGGCAGCCUCUCUUAUGGGGAAAUGUAGUCUAGUGCUCCUCGAGCCAUAGUAGUCCGCUACAUCCUGGUUCACCGGAGUCCUGCUAGCCCAGCAGUACUGCUCAGGACACUUGACUGGCCGGCAUGUGUUUCACUUCGUUCCUAUGUCUGUCCCUUCGGGGAAAUGUCACGCGGUGACAUCCGGAGUCCUGCCUAGCCUGCUACAGCCCGGGUUCCCCGGAGUUUUGUUAGCCCAGUGCUACAGCCUGGAUUCACACGUUGUUGACCGACAUGCUCGAUGUGAUUCAUGUAUGCCUGUCUCCAUAGGUCUGUGCCGCUUUGGGUUCUCGACUAGCCAUGUCGGCCCGGGUUCUCUAUCAUAUGGAUGCUAGCGACACUAUCAUAUACGUGAGCCAAAAGGCACAAACGGUCCCGGGCCAUGGUAAGGCGACACCCGUGGGGAUACCGUGCGUGAGGCCAUAAUGUGAUAUGAGGUGUUACCGGCUAGAUCGAUGUGACUUGGAAUUGGGGUCCUACAGUGUUGGCAUCAGAGCCAGACUGCCUGUAGGUUCGUUGAGCCAAACUGGUCGAUGUCGAGUCUAGAAAUGCUUUAGUUAUAUGCAGGGGAAUUGAUUGUGGGAGGGAACGUAAGGCUCUUUUUACUCCUUUACCUUAUACCCUCUGAUCUGAGUCAUUCUCUUCUCAUUCAACGUGGGUUAAGGACUAGGCUCUCUUCUUCUAUCAGGUUCACGUUUUACUAAUCCGUAGUAGCUUAUAGGAUUGUUGUUACCAGCCUCAGUACAGUUUCUACUACUUUUAGUAUGUUGUUAGUUGAAUCAGAACCUUGAUAUGAUGUUGUUGAGUGGUAUUGCAAACUAUUGUGGAUGUCUCAAAUCUUUUUCUGAUCAUUUACAGCUUUUAUGUUGUCCGAUUUUCCCUAGAAAAUUCUAAUGCCUUUGCAUUAUUCUGUGCUUUCAGAUGGCCACCCGUUCCCAGAACCAAGUGGUUCGUCUAACCCGGUGCCUCGAUGUGCCUGGCUACACGGCCAUGUUGGUUCGAGUGAUGGUUGAGUCAGGCUAUCGGUGGUAUCCGGAAUAUACCGUCGAGGAGCAGUUCAGAGAUUUCAACUAGAGCCAAUACCUUUGUACCAUCAGGAUAUAUCCCUCUUAUCCUGGAGCCACUGAGCCCCUUCAUUGUUCCUAUGGACUUGGGGUCACUAUUGAGAUGUCUGUGCAGGAUGCGGCCUAUUUAAUGAUGACUAUCAUUCGAGCCAGGACUGCCUUGCUACAGAACACCGAUUUCCGUUACAUGCCAGCCUCACUUCCUGGAGCACAGGGGUACUAUCAGGCUUUGUACUAUGACUCUACACAUGAGGAGUCACUACUCCGCACCACUGCCGAGAUGCUCGAGGAUAAGGACCGCGAAAAUCGGGCCUUGCGUAUGGAGCUUUUCCACACUCGUUCUGAUCAUUGGGCCACUUUGACUCGGUUUGCACCUGUGGUGCAGGCAGGAUACAUGGACAUGAGGGACCUGUACCCUGUACGGUCUGGAUUGCCAGAUUGUAUGGAGUGGCGUGAUGUAGGAGGCAUCACCCCUCCCCGUGGUCCCCGUCUGCCACCGCCUGUGGGACCAAGGCCACAACCGAGUCCCUAUGGUCCGCAUGCUCCGCAGGACCGUCUGUUCCCAGAUGAUCAUGUUCCACUUCCAGGCUUUGGUGGUGACUUUUAUGAGGAUUACUACGGAGCCGUCUGAGCUAGUAGUAGUUUCACUAGUAUUGUAAUAGUUGUAUUCUCCACAGUCCUGCGUGACCGUGGGAUACGACUUGGUGUGUAUCACGCUCCGGAGGUGUAGAAAAAUAAUGUAUAGGAGCUUGGAAUGCCUCCGAUGAGAUGUAAUGUUUUUCACCGUAGUUGUACUCUAGCAUGGGCUUGUACUAAACUAUGUACGGUGUGUAUGACCAAUGGUAUAUAUAUGGCAGUUUCUAUAUUACCAUGUCGUGCAAUGAACAUCUUAGCAUUCCAUGUUAUCCAUUACAUUCUGCACUUCCUUGCUAAGUUUGUGCCAUCCUUGUCUAAACCGUUGUCUUGUUUUUCCUAGGAUGGUCAACACCCGCAGCAACCCUGCUGCCCCGGAGCAGGGGGAAGCCAGUGCAGCCAGGGGUGAAAAUCUUCCUCACCCACCUUCUUUGGCCGAAGUUAUGCUAGAGGCGGAAAGAAACAAGCGUGAGACUAACCGCUUGCUAGAGCGGAUUGAGCAGAACACUGCACACCAUCAGCGAAAUGACUUGGUGUCAAUCAAUGACUUCAUCAAGUUGUACCCACCAAAGUUUAAUCAUUCUGUCGAGCCCCUCGACGCGGAUGACUGGCUCCGCAGCAUCACACACAAGCUACGUUCCGCUAACGUAGCCGAAGCUGAUAAGCUUAGCUAUGCUGCCUAUCACCUCGAAGGCCUUGGUAGCCUUUGGUGGGAAAACUUUGAGGCUAUGCGCCCGGUCGGCCAAAUCACUACUUGGGCUGAAUUCAGUGAGGCUUUCCGUGAGCACCACAUCCUGGAAGGUCUCAUAGAUCGUAAGAGGGAAGAGUUCUACAAUUUCACCCAAGGAAGACUGACUAUGGAUGCAUAUAGUCGUGAGUUUGGGAAUCUGGCAUGAUAUGCUCCUGAAGAGGUAUCCACCGACGCUAAGAAGCAGGCAAGGUUCCACAAGGGACUUAGCCCUGAGCUUCGCCGCGAUCUUCGUCUGCACGAGUGCACCUCCUUUCAGAAGUUGGUCAAUAAAGCCAUCAGUGCUGAGACAGGCCAGUCUGACUAUGACGCUUCACGCAAGCACUCUCGUGAUUUUGGUUCUUCAUCCGGCUCUGGAUCUCAGAAGCGCCGGGUGUGGAUUCCAAGCACGGCACUGCCACCCAAGUUCAUUCUGAGGCCAUCCUUUGAGGCGCCUCGGCCCAACCAGCAGUUUGCACCGUGUAAGACCUAUGGUGGCCCCGCUGUUAAUGCUGCUCCACGCCCCAAUGUUGUGAUAUGUUUCAAGUGUGGAGAGCCGGGUCACUACAGUCGAGAGUGUCCCCAGAACAACAACCCCAAUCAGUCUGGAAAGUUCAUUGGCCGUGGUAAGCUAGCGGGAAAGACCUUCUACGCCAAGCCAACCACCACUACACGUGGCCAUGUUAACUAUGUCUCGGCUGAGGAGGCUCAUGAGGAUCCUAACGUCGUCCUUGGUGCGCUCCUUGUUAAUUGCCAUCCGGCAUCUGUUCUUUUCGACACUGGAGCAUCUCAUUCAUUCAUAUCUGAGAGCUAUGCUCGAUUGCAUAACACGACAUUCUGUGACAUGCCCACUACCAUGGAAAUUCAAACCCGGCUCUAGAUGGCAAACUUCUAGAGUAAGCCAUGGGAAUGAAUUUUUUGUUGAUAGACUUGUCUUCCUUGCAUCCUUAAUAGCUCUCAAGUCCUCGAACAUAAACAUUAUCUUGGGUAUGGACUGGAUGUCAGCUCAUUAUGCUAAGAUUGAUUGUGCCACUAGAACUGUUCAACUUACUCACCCAUCGGGCAAGACAGUCAAUGUCUUAACUCGAGUGGCCAAGCACUAGCUUUACUCCCUAAAUGCCAACCCCUUCCAGACCUUGAAGAUAUUCCGGUAGUCCGAGACUUUCCGGAUGUCUUUCUAGAAGAACUGCCAGGUGUUCCACCUGACAACGAUGUCGAGUUUGUGAUAGACCUUGUUCCAGGAACCGUUCCAAUUUCUAGGAGACCCUAUAAGAUGGCACCCUUAGAACUAGCCGAGCUUAAGAACCAACUCGAUGAGUCCUUGAAAAAGGGUUUCAUCCGUCCUAGUUCCUCUCCUUGGGCUUGCCCCGUCCUCUUCGUCAAGAACAAGGAUGGAACGGAUCGGAUGGUCGUAGAUUACCGACCUGUCAACUUGGUCACUAUCAAGAACAAGUAUCCGCUUCCCAAGAUCAACGAUAUGUAUGACCAGCUCGCUGGAUCCUCAGUCUUUUCCAAGAUGGAUUUGAGGUUGGGCUACCAUCAAAUCAAAAUCAGAAACGGGGACAUUCCCAAAACGGCCUUUAUUACUCGUUAUGGCCAAUACGAGUACACCGUCAUGUCUUUCGGUUUAACCAAUGCCCCAGCCACCUUCUCUCAGUUAAUGAACUCAGUCUUCAUGGAGUAUUUGGAUAAAUUCGUCAUGGUAUACCUCGAUGAUAUAAUCAUCUACUCCAAGAGUGAGGAGGAACAUGCCAAACAUCUAAGGCUGGUAUUGACGAAACUUCGAGAGCAUCGUCUUUAUCCCAAAUUCUCAAAGUGUGAAUUUUGGUUGCCAGAAGUGACCUAUGUAGGCCAUGUAAUCUCUGGUAAGGGUAUUGUUGUCAAUCCUGAGCGAGUUCAAGCCGUCCUUGAUUGGACUCCACCUGAAACGGUCAAGCAAGUUCGGAGCUUCCUUGGCUUAGCGAGCUAUUGCCGCCGCUUCGUCAAGAAUUUCUCCAAGGUUGCUAAACCCCUAACUGAACUCCUCAAGAAAGAUAAAAAGUUCGAAUGGACCCCACAAUGCGAGUUCAGCUUUCAGGAACUGAAAAGACGCCUGACAUCUGCUCCCGUACUGGUACCACCAGAUUUCUCCAAGGACUUUAUUAUCUAUUGCGACGCCUCGCGACAAGGACUAGGUUGUAUACUCAUGCAAGAUCGUCAGGUAAUUGCCUAUGCUUCACGGCAAUUACACCCACAUGAGGAAAAUUAUCCCACACAUGAUCUAGAGCUUGCAGAUGUAGUCCAUGCACUCAAAACUUGGCGACAUUACCUUCUCGGUAAUCGUUGUGAGAUCUUCACCGAUCACCAAAGUUUGAAAUAUAUCUUCACCCAACCGGAUUUGAAUCUCAGGCAAAGACGUUGGGUCGAGUUGAUCUCAGAUUACGACUUAGGAAUAACUUACACCCCGGGCAAAGCCAAUGUCAUGGCUGAUGCGCUAAGUCGUAAAUCUUAUUGUAACAACCUGAUGUUACAACAAAGUCAACCACUUCUCCACGAGGAAUUUUGUAAGCUUAACCUUCACAUUGUUCCUCAAGGAUUCCUAUCCACCCUGGUGGCGAAACCUACCCUUACGGAUCAGAUCAUCAAGGCACAGAAGGUAGAUCCGGGAAUCUCCCGUAUUAAGAGAAACAUUAAGAAAGGAGUCGCGAAUUGUUUCUCCGUUGAUGAUCAAGGUGUCGUAUACUUUGGAAACCGCUUAGUGGUUCCCAAAGCACAAAACCUGAGGCGGCUGAUUCUUAAGGAAGCUCAUGAAUCCCCUCUCACCAUUCAUCCCAGUAGUACUAAAAUGUAUCAAGACCUACGCCAGAGGUUUUGGUGGACUAGGAUGAAGAGAGAAAUUGCUCAAUACAUUGCUAGUUGCGACGUUUGUCAUCGUGUUAAAGCAGAGCAUCAAUGGCCUGUUGGCACCCUUCAACCUUUGGCUAUUCCUGAGUGAAAAUGGGAUAAAAUCAGUAUGGAUUUCAUUAAUGGGUUUCCCAGGACCAAGAGAGGGAAUAAUGCCAUCUUCGUCGUAAUCGACCGCCUUUCCAAAGUAGCACAUUUCCUACCUGUUCGUGAGAGUAUCACCGCUAGCCAGCUAGCUGACCUAUACAUCUCCCGAAUAGUAUUUCUUCAUGGUCUCCCAUUGGAAAUUAACUCAGACCGUGGGAGUCUCUUCACCUCUCGAUUUUGGGAAAGUUUCCAAAAUGCUAUGGGAACUCAUCUCUCUUUUAGGACCGCCUUCCACCCUCAAUCAAGUGGUCAAGUAGAGCGAGUCAAUCAAAUUCUGGAGGAUAUGCUCCGAGCUUCUGUCAUCUCAUUUGGAAUGGGUUGGGAGAAAUGCCUUCCAUUCCCGGAGUUUGCUUACAACAAUAGUUAUCAAGCUAGCUUUGGCAGAGCUCCUUUCGAAGUUCUCUACGGACGAAAAUGUCAAACACCUCUUAACUGGUCAGAAACCGGGGAAAGACAACUCUUUGGCCUGGAUAUGAUUCAGGAAGUAGAAGAGCAGGUUCGCGUUAUUCGUGAGAAAAUGAAAACAGCCCAAUCUCGUCAAAAGAGCCAAUAUGAUCGUAAACAUAAGCUCAUGACUUAUGACGUUAGCGAGAAGGCUUACCUUCGGGUUAUUCCAUUAAAGGGAACCCAUCGUUUCAGUAUCAAAGGCAAAUUGGAUCCUCGUUACAUUGGACCCUUUCGCAUUCUUGCCAAACGAGGAGAAGUUGCCUACCAAUUGGAACUACCUCCGCAUCUUUCUAGAGUUCACGAUGUCUUCCACGUUUCUCAACUUGGGCGUUGCCUCGCGGAUCCUAUCCGUGGAGUGGACCACAAAACACUUGAUCUACAAGAUAAUCUCUCGUAUCAGGAAUAUCCCGUUCGUAUCCUUGAUCAAGCCGAGCAUACCACUCGACGCCAUAACAUCAAAUUUCUCAAGGUUCAAUGGUCACACCAUUCCGAAAAGGAAGCCACUUGGGAAAGGGAGGAUCGUCUUCGACUCGAGUACCCCACUUUCUUCCCAACAGAUCCUAAAUCUCGGGACGAGAUUCUUUUGAGUGGGGGUGAGUUGUCACACCCUAGCUAGUUCAUGCAUUAGAGUGAUUGCAUCAUGUUUAAAUUUCCCAAAAAAAUGAAAUCGGGAUGAUAGAACCCCCAACACCCCCCUGGAACAACUAGGGUUUACUAAAAACUUUUUCAAUGAACCUGAAAUGCCCUUCUAAAAAGUCCACCCUUUUUGUUUUGGGUUAAAACCUUUGACAAAAAUGGUGCACACUUUUCUAGGACAUCUUAAGGUCAUUGGAUUAAAUCAUUACGAUUUGAAUUUGGGCAAUUUAAAUCCUAUAAAUAUUUUAAAAUGCCCAAAUAACCCUGAAAGUAUUUUUAGGCUAUUGAGAAUAUUUUCAAAUGUGCCUCUGAAUAUUUCUAGGUUUUUCCUAAAUGAAAUAGUAUUUUUACUAUUUCAAAACACAGAACAGGAAUAAAUAAAAAGAAAACAGAAAGCAGAAAGAGUAGAGGCUUACCUGACGCCCACCUAGCAGGCCCACCUGCCAGCCCAGCCCAGCCACCGCUCCAGCGAGCUGCUUGGCUUGCCCAGGUAGGCAGGCAGGUGCUCGACACCGGCACCUGCGCGCGCCACGCAGCUGGCCGCCGCCCUGCUUCCUCCCCUCGCAGCGUUGCUACCCUGGUUCGGUCACACACCCCUCCCCGAGAUCACAAACACGCCUGUCUCUCCCCAGCUCCUCUCCCUCUCUCUCCCGCACCAUGGCCGACGCUGCCGCGCCCGCGCCACCGUGCUGACCGCGUCCACCGUCGUCCCCGUCCCGCGUCACCGUGUCCACUAGCUCCGCCGUCGUCGACUACGUCGAGCAGGCCGAGCCCCGAGCGCUGACCCCGUCUCCCCCAACUUCGGCCGCCGAGAUCGCCAUCGUCGCCCCGCUCAGCUCUGGCCUUCCCCGAGCUCGCUUCAACGCUUGCUGCAAUUGCCGUGAGCCCAGCUCCGUCCUCCCCCUCUCCAUUAACUCCCUCCUGCACCGUGUGCACCGCACCAUGCUCACCCGAGCACCCACCGGCACCGAGCUCGUCGCCGACGUGACUCCGGCCACCCACCAGCACACCUUUGCCGACCAACACACUCACCGCACCCGCAGGAGCCUGUAGCACCACUCCACGUGCCUCACCGGCGACGUUUCCGGCCAUCCCAGCUACGCGUAGAGCCUCUCCGCCACGCAAAUGGUCGCAUGUGGGCAUUUUUCGAAGCCCUCCGCCGCAUCUGUCGUCGCCGGCGUCAAACCGCCGGCGAGUUGACCUCGUUUGACCCGGGGUUUAACUCCCCUGGGUCAAUGACAGGUGGGCCCAAAGCCUUGCCAAUUUUAGUUUAGCACUAAUUAACUUUUAGUUAACCCAAUAGGUCACUGACAGAUGGGGCCCACCAGUCAGGUUUGACCUGGGCUGGCGCCUUUGACUUGCUGACGUCACAGUGAUGCAGUGCUAACGUAGUUAAUUAUUUCUGGAUUUAUUCUUAUAUAGGAAAUUCCAGAAAAUAGCCAAAACUUCUAAAAAUCAUAGAAAAUGAACCAUAGCUCCAAAUCAAACAAAUUAUAUAUGAAAAAUGAUCAGAAAAAUUCAAUCUUUCCAUCUGUAAUGGCAUCAUGCAUGACAAAACACUUUAACCUUGUUGUUUAGGUGAAACAAGCUAAUACACUUAUAAUACAUAAGAACUUAAGCUUCCAUUUGAAUCUUUGAUUCAAAUGGACCCAUUUCAACUUGUUUCCCAUUGCAUUAGGCAGGACACCUCAUUUUGCCAUGUCAUAGCAUGCAUCAUAUUGUUGCAUAUUGCCAUGUGUUGAUUAUUUUCUGUGGUGUCUUUCGUGGUAGGUUCUGCCUCCGAGGAUAUCUCUGAGUAUCCAACUGAAGGGCAGUACCCUACUACUCCUCCAUCAGGCAAGCAGCCCCAUUGAUCAUAUCGAUAUAAUCCCAUGUUCUCGCUUCUGCUCUCACUUACUGCAUUAAGAAAACAACGUUUCAAACUGCUGUGUGCUGCGGUAGUUGAACCCUUAUCCUCUGCAUGACCUGUCAUUGCCAUAGUAACUAGAUGAAACCCACUAGCAUGUGUAGGAGUUGAUUGAGCCAUGUAUGUGUUUCCUACCUUGCUAUGCCUGCUAUGCUUAGAGUUGUGUCAGGUCUGGUUCAACUGGGCGAUGGGCUAGAGUGAAAUGAUUAUGUCGGUAAUGUGAGAGAUGUGUUGAACAUGAUUUGGUAAAGGUAUCGAUGAGAGGCCUUGUAGGAGUACAUGGUGGGUUGUUUCAUUGAGGCCAUCCCUAAGAACUGAGAUCUGUAUGUGUGAUUUAACAAUCAUCUACUACCAUACAUUGGGCCCGAAACCAAUGGACCCUCUCCGCUUCUUAAUCACCCUAGUACUCUGUCCAGGAGUUGCAACUAGUUUCUGGUGUUUGUAGGUUAUGUGUUGGCGGCCGUGCGUAGUGCUGGCCCUAGGGGUGGGCUAUGAUGCGGUAGAUACACCGUGGCCAGUAUGCCGGGCGCCCGUUUGGCGUCUCGAGACCCUGUUCACAUCGUUCGGGUCCGCAUGUGGAAACCUCGGCCGGACUCCCUGCGGAUGGAACUUGGAUAGGUGAUAAACCUGGACUAGAGACUUGAGUGUUUAGGUAGGCCAUGGCCGACACCCUCGUUGGGCUUCCGCUUGAAGGUUGACGAGUACAUGUGUAAACGACGGUAAGUGGUGAGAGCGUGUAUGAAUAAGUACACCCCUGCAGGGUUAACAUCAUCUAUUCGAAUAGCCGCGUCCGCGGUAAAGGACUACUUGGUUGCCUAUACAGUUCAGAGACAAGUUAAUGGUUACAACUAAAAGACUCAAGAUAAGUGUUAGUACCGAGGAUGGCCCUCUCGUAGGAUGACGAGGGAGGAUCCCCGGUGGAGUAUUGUGUUGGUGAUUAGUGGACUCGUGUGCGAAAACUAUUUUACUAGUGGUGUCUCGUAGGAUAGCUUAGCCAAGAGUCAAAGCUGGCUUGCUGCAAUAACUCCACCACAUUCUUGAGAAUGAGCAUGUAUAGUAGGUUCUGUUGUAAGACUUGCUGAGUACCUUUGUACUCAUGUUGCUUUAAUUACUGUUUUCAGACGACAACACCGCCCCCUCCGAUGGGUUUUAUGUAGACCUUGACGUCGAUGAGUAACUUGCCACCCAGGUGGUGAUCCUGGACAUGGUGGGCCCUAUGUAGAUAGACAUGCUUCGACAAGCCUCCUUUCUUUCUAGUGUCUGUACUCAGACUAUUUGCUUCUGCAUGUGCUUGUAUGCUUGUAUGACUUGAGUGUCGGGUCAUGUGACCCCUACCUGUAUGAACAUGUUAUGUAUGGCUCUCUGGAGCCUUUAAAUAAAGUACUUGAGUUGUAGAGUUUUGUUGUGAUGCCAUGUUGUAUUUGCACAUAUCGAGCAUAUUGUGUGUAUGAUUGAAAUGCUUGGUAUGUGUGGGAUCCGACAAUCUAGUUGUUUAUCCUUGGCAGCCUCCCUUAUGGGAAAAUGUAGUCUAGUGCUCCUCGAGCCAUAGUAGUCCGCUACAUCCCGGUUCACCGGAGUCCGGCUAGCCCAGCACUACUGCUCAGGACACUUGACUGGCCGGCAUGUGUUUUAGUUCGUUCCUUUGUCUGUCCCUUCGGGGAAAUGUCACGCGGUGACAUCUGGAGUCCUGCCUAGCCUGCUACAGCCUGGGUUCCCCGGAGUCCUAUUAGCCCAGUGCUACAACCUGGAUUCACACGCUGUUGACCGACAUGCUCAAUGUGAUUCAUGUAUGUCUGUCUCCAUAGGUCUGUGCCGCUUUGGGUUCUCGACUAGCCAUGUCGGCCCGGGUUCUCUGUCAUAUGGAUGCUAGCGACACUAUCAUAUACGUGAGCCAAAAGGCGCAAACGGUCCCAGGCCAUGGUAAGGCGACACCCGUGGGGAUACCGUGCGUGAGGCCGCAAUGUGAUAUGAGGUGUUACCGGCUAGAUCGAUGUGACUUGGAAUCGGGGUCCUGACAAUCCUUCCUUACUUCCGAAGAUAAUAACCGAUUCAUAUAAAUUGUAGUCCGGAUCGCAGCCCCUCUCUACAGAGUUCAUCUUCGGGGGAUCUUCUUCCGGAGAUGAUGGAGAGCGAAACGCCUCCCCGGACUCCCCAGCUCAAGAAGCUGGUGACCUUGAAGUGUCGUCGCUAAGGGUAUCUCCAGAUCCACUAGGGCCAGAGGAUAACCCUUUGGCUGCCCGGAAUCCCCAGUAUCCGGCUCCUAAGGAGAGCGACAGUAAGGGUCCGUAUAGUGUGCGGUCGGACGCGCUGAAGGAUCUUCUGGGGCAAGCUGCCAUCUCGGAAUCGCAUUGUAUGCUAAUGGGUACGGUAAUUGAAAGGAUUUCAUCCGCUGAAAGCGGUCUGCAUGAAGCUUUUAUGAGUCUGCUGAAAGGCUUCGAGGAACGUGAAAUAAUGUAUGCUUUUAACAGUACCACAUACGUUAGGUAUGCCCAUGCAAAUAGUAGCCCCUGAGACUCUGGUUGUCGUCAAGAACGGCGGCAAACAAAGGAUCAUAGUCCCAGCUAAUAACCAGACCGCCUUUAUGUGCAGGUGGUUGAAGCUCCGGUGGCUAGCCGGACUGAUGGGUUUGCCGAACUAAAGCGGCAACUGGAUGCGGUAGAUGCCAACAUCGUGCUUGUCAACAAGUGGCUUGACGAGGCACAUGGUGAGUGAUUUUUCUGGUGAUCGUCACGUAAUAAGAGCAGCAUGAUGCCAGUAUCUUUAAUAUGUUGUGACUGCAGAUGGAGCUGCCACCAUGGAGACCCUUCGGGCGGAACUUGCCCGAGCCAAGGAGCAAGCAAGGAGUAGCAAUGCGGCCGCUUUAAAGGCGGCCGAAGAGUUAAGGGCCGAACAGGCCGCGCAUUGCGAGAGCAAGGAAAAAAUAGCCAAGAUGGCUGUAGAGUUAAAAGAUGCUUCUGACCGUUACCAGCUUCUUGCAGAAGAAAACCGGGCAAAGGCGACGGACCUGGAGAAGGCCCGGGUGGCUGCCAAGGAAGCCCACUCAAAAAUUAGAGCGACGAAGGAGGAGCUGAAUCAAGCUGCAGAUAUCGUGUCUGGGAAGCCCUUCUUGUUGCAGACUAAGCCCUCCACGCAUCGAUGCUAUAAAGAGAUCGGUGUGCAUAGAAGGUGCGCGGAUGGCCCUUGCCCGUGUCAAAACAUACUGGGCGGAGAUGGAGGCCACCACUGUUGCGGCAUAGGGUUCGGCCAUAGGCCGAUUGGCUGCCGACCACUACUUUGAAGAAGUCCUUGAAGGCGCUCGUUCGAGAGAGGCUCAGUGCUCGAAGAAUAUUAUUUUUCAGUGACAUGUAGUCCCAUUGUACAAACAAUGUUUUUCUGAAUUAAUCAAGGCUGUAUUUAUACCUUUGCCCGAAAUUACUAUGAUGCCUCCUGUGCGGCCGUUUAUGUAUAUAUGAAUAUAACCUGAAAGUUUGCAGUCGUCGGCUUCUUCCCCCACGCAUAUAAUGCGGGGGUGUUCGCAAAAGAUGCAUAUUCACACUUGAUCCAACGUCUUGGUCCGUUAAGGAGGUGAUAGCGUAGCGAACGAGGCAAUCGGACUAUAUUGCUUUAACACUUUCACUUAGCCAUAGGAGUUUGACAGUGGGGCUACUAUAUAGCCCCUGGUACUUCUGCGCUCGUCCGAGUACGGGGCGCGUACGUAUAUGACCGGGAAACGACCCUUCAUUAAUGCGGAGGAAUCCCAAAGAUUCCGAUUAGUCGUCGAGUGGUUGACCAGUCUCUCGCUAUAUCAUGACAGUCAGUUUUCGGCUUUCUCUACUGAGGUGCUCAUCCGGAUGAACCAGGGCACAAUCGCAGUAGUUCUCCCAGUUCUACCUUAGCCGAUAUAACGGAACGUAAGGUAGCAAAACGUGGGAGCCGGGCAAACCCAACAUUUGACCAAAGACAUGAUUCGGAGCUGAUGCAUAUAGGGCCAAACUCGCGAUGCCGAACACUCCCUAAGAUGUUUGGUCUUUAUAACAUAUACCGGGCUAAACAACGCCCUUUAUUAGAAACCCCAUGUGUCCAGGUACUUGCAAAAUCCUGGCAUGGCCACAUGCCAAUAACGUCGGCAUCCUUCUCGGUUGUGUGUAGUAUCCGGAGGAUGUGAGCAACAAGAGAUAGUAAAAAAGGUUUACGCAGGGUCCUAAUCUAAAAAGAAACCUUUGGGCGGGUCCCUGCUGCAUGUCUGUGCCUGUGUCUCCGUUGUGCUGUGUCAUGGACGGGUGUAACACGAUUGUCAUGUGCAAAAGGUGAGAACUUAGGUGAAAGUUUUCGUGCCAAAAAGAAGAAUGAAUUAUCAAAACUCUAGAUAAGCCUAGUUGAGCCGGGCUGGCCCUGAUUACACGCGGGAAGCCCCUGGUAUUGUUUUAUGAGGGUUUGAAAACCAAUCUCAUGCAUGUAUGAUGGAACUCCGGACUCGUCUAACCGUGUCUGUGGUCUUGACGACCUGCCAUUUUUUGGUUGGUGAGGCCAUCUAGUGUGCGGCUGUUAGAGACGCCGCAAUCUCUUUCGUACGUAAAGAAUGGUUGGUAUUUCCGCUAACUAUAAUGACGCCUUGUGGACCGGGCAUCUUGAGCUUGAGAAAAGCAUAAUGUGGUAUUGCGUUAAAACGAGCCAAAGCUGCCCUUCUGAGUCAUGCUUGAAAAUCACUUCGGAAUGGAGCGAUGUGAAAAGUUAACGUUUCACUUUGGAAGUUAUCGGGAGAACCGAAUACCACCUCUAGUAGUAGAGAGCCUAUGCAGUGGGCCUCUUGGCCAGGAAUUACUCCCUUGAAGGUAGUAUUACUGUGGCUUAUUUGUGUCGGGUCUAUCCCAAUUUUGCGGACUGUGUCCUAAUAUAUCAGAUUUAGAUCACUUCCGCCGUCCAUGAGGACCCUUGUGAAAUGGUACCCAUUUAUUAUUGGGUCUAACACCAAGGCCGUCAGUCCUUCGCGCCGGAUAUGUGUAUCGUGAUCCCUACGAUCAAAAGUGAUCGGGCAGGCCAACCAGGGGUUCGACCUUGGGGUGACGGGCUCUAUGGCGCAUGUGCAUCGGAGUGCGUGAUUGCUUCUCCUCUUUGUCACAUCGAUCACGUUUACUGUUUUAACCUCUGGUGGGAACUUCUUCUGUCCUCUGGCACUUUGCUGGUGAGGUUCAUCCUCGUCUUCGCUUGGUGUCUCUUCCCCUUUUUGUUCGGCGUUUAGCUUACCAGCCUGCUUGAAGAUCCAACAUUCUCUAUGGGUAUGAUUUGCAGGUUUGUGUGGAGUGCCGUGAAUCUGACAGAGUUUGUCAAGAAUUUUGUUUAGGCCAGAUUGUCCUUCUCUGCUUCCUUUGAAAGGCUUUUUUUCACUGACGUGGUCGGGAGCCCCUGAAUCCGGCGUUUACCGCCGUGUUAUGUGGGCUACCCUCUUUAUUUUGAUGCUUGUUUUUGUUGCAUCAUGGUUUACCAUUGCCAUCCCAGACUUCGGAUGUGCUUGGGUCGCUGGUGCUGCUACGGGCCAACCAGCUGUCCUCACCCGCACAAAAGCGUGUCAUGAGGCUUAUUAGGGCUGCCAUUGUUCUCGGUUUUUCUUGGCCGUGGUGUCUGGCAAGCCAUUCGUCUCGGACGCUGUGUUUGAAAGCUGCUAUGGCUUCGGCAUCCGGACAGUCGACAAUUUGGUUCUUCUUGAUGAGGAACCUGUUCCAAAGCUUUCGGGCGGACUCUCCGGACUGUUGGAUUAUAUGACUUAAAUCGUCUGCAUCCAGAGGUUGGACAUAAGUCCCUUAAAAAUUGGCCCGAAAAGCGUCCUCGAGCUCCUCCUAGCUUCCAAUUGAGUUUUUGGGGAGGCUUUUCAGCCAGUGCCUAGCUAGCCCUUUAAGCUUGAGGGGCAAGUAUUUAAUGGCAUGGAGAUCGUCUCCACGAGCCAUAUGGAUGUGGAGGAUGAAGUCCUCUAUCCAGACACCAGGGUUUGUGGUUCCGUCGUGCGCCUCUAUGUUCACCGGUUUGAAUCCCUCUGGGAAUUCGUGAUCCCGCACCUCAUCAGUGAAACAUAAGGGGUGUGCGGCACCCCUAUAUUGGAAUGCACCAUGGUGUUCGGAUGGUUGUAGUAUUCGGUGUUGGUUGUGUACCGUAGCGCGCUUCAUAGAUCCAUAGAUAGAUCUGGUCGCGCCGGAUUUUUGACGCAAGUUCUCACGUAGAUCAUGUGUUGACUUAUGCGUGACUUUGUUAGCCGCUCUAUCCCGUUCACAUGAUGGUGGAUCCGGCCGGUUGGCCGUAUCACUUUUCGGCUGUAUGGGCUCUAAGGCCUCAUCGUCGAAUUCCGGUAAUAGCUUGCGCUUUGGAUAGCUUUUUGGAUGGUAACUUCCACCAUACUUUGUUACUUUGUUCCACGUGCUGUUGAGCGUAUCUUGUGCUACCUUGAGCCUUUGCUUCUGUUACUUCAGGCUUCUCGCUGUGGCAAUAAGCCUUCUGCGAAGGUUCUCUUGCUCCAAGUGUGUUUCCGGGAUGAUGGGUGCAUCUUCGUUCGAACUGUUUUCUUCCCUAGACGGGGAUUGAUGAGGCUUAUCUUUGGCGUCAUUGUGUUCGAACAUCGGAUCCAUGCUAUGUUUGCAGUUUGCAUCUUGAUCGUGUUCUGCCACCGGGGUGGUGCAGUUGUCAUCUCUUCCAGAGUCACGUGGACUAUUAUUAUCGCUGUUUUUGCUGUGGCGGGACUUAGAGCGGCGCCGCUGACGUUGGCGCUUGGGUUGCUUCUUGGAGGGGGUCAUCCUCCGCUUUCUCAUCGCCGUUGGCUUCUUUGGGGGUGUCCACCAUGUAUACGUCAUGUGAUGAAGUAGCGGUCCAGCGCCCUGUGGGCGGUGGUUCCGGUUCGUCUCCUGCAUCGUCGUCCAUACCGUUGAUGUCUUCGGAGUCGAAGUCGAGUAUGUCGGUUAAGUCGUCGACAGUGGCUACUAAGUGGGUGGUGGGUGGGCAACGAAUUUCUUCGUCGUUCGCAUCCCAUUCUAGCCGGACAUAGUUCGGCCAGGGUUCUCUUGACAAGGAGAGAGACCUUAAUGAAUUUAGCACAUCUCCGAGAGGUGAGUGCUGAAAGAUAUCCGCGGAGGUGAAGUCCAUGAUCGGUGCCCCGUCGAUUUCGGCAGGCACAGAUGUAGGCGGCUCGGAGUCCGUGGCCGGGGAUAAAUCCAGUGGUUCGGCGACACGGCUCACGUACGGGGUGAAGUCAGUAUCUGGCUCUAUCGCCACUGAGAGUGCGGCCUCCAUGGCGGGGUCCAUCCCUCCGCUCUCAAUGGUGCGACUUGCUCCGGAUUAAAGACCGGAGUAGCUGCGGAUGCGAUCUCCCGAACACUGUCCGAUGGUAGAGUUACGUCUUGCUCGUCGUGACUGCAUGGCGCGUCCGGCAUGGGCUUGAAUCCGUCGAAGAUCAAGUCUCCGCGGAUAUCGGCCAUGUAGUUCAAGAUUCCAAAUCUGACCUGAUGGCCAUGGGCGUAGCUCACAAUCUGCUCCAGAUGGCCAAGCGAAUUGCCCUGUAGUGCAAAGCCGCCAAAUAUGAAGAUCUGUCCGGGGAGGAAAGCCUCACCCUAGACCGCAUCGCUGGCGAUGAUCGAAGGAUCCAUCAAGCCUUAUGGUGACGACAUAAUGGAACUCUCAAUGAAAGCACCAAUGUUGGUGUCAAAACCGGCGGAUCUCAGGUGGCGGGUCCCGACCUAUGCGUCUAAGGCUGAUGGUAACAGGAGGCAGGGGACACUAUGUUUACCUAGGUUCGGGCCCUCUUGAUGGAGGUAAUACCCUACGUCCUGCUUGAUUGUUCUUGAUGAUAUGAGUAUUACAAGAGUUGAUCUACCACGAGAUCAGAGAGGCUAAACCCUAGAAGCUAGCCUAUGGUAUGAUUGUAUGUUGUCCUACGGACUAAAACACUCCGGUUUAUAUAGACACCGGAGGGGGCUAGGGUUACACAAGGUCGGUUACAAAGGAGGAGAUAUACAUAUCCGUAUUGCCUAGCUUGCCUUCCACGCCAAUUAGAGUCCCAUCCGGACACGGGACGAAGUCUUCAAUCUCGUAUCUCCAUAGUCCAACAGUCCAUCCAAAGGAUAUAGUCUGGCUGUCCAGAGACCCCCUAAUCCAGGACUCCCUCACUUACUUUACACAUAAUGCAUGUGAAUAUGACACAUGUUCCUGUUUCUAGAACAUACGUGUUGAUAAUGAGCACAUCUCCCCUACUCCACCAUCACAGGUGCUUGCUCUAACUUGGAACUAUUAUAUGUGGUUGCGUGUUCCAUAUGAUGUCUAGUUUUUAUUGCUUCUGAUUUUGUUGAAUUGCAUCUACGUAGCUUACAACUUAUAUCUGCAACGAUCACUUACCCGUAAGACACAUUUAACUUGGGAGUGUGAUGUAGGUUGCAUCUUGCAUUGUCUUCUAGCUUGUACUGCUUCUAAUUUCUUGAAAUGGCACUUAAACGAGACACUUUUUACCUGAUAGAGUGAUAUUGGUUGCAUGUUCAUAUGGUGCCAAGCUUUCAUUUCUUCUAAUUUUGUUGAAAUUCCUUCUGGUUACUAUUUUUCAUACUUAUUCCAUCCUCCUAUCGUUCGUCUGAAUAUGCAAUGUUGUUUUUUUGUAUAUAUUUUAUCUUCCUAUCGUACGCUUGCCUUACAUCAAAGUAGUGUUAUUCUGUAUCUUGCAUCAACCAGUUAUGCAGAGCUAAUUUUAUUCAUCUUCUUUUGGUUAUGACUUCAUAAGGCAAUAUUAGAAAAUAGAAAGGAAAAGAGUAAGUUAGGGGAUGUUGGUGGUCCUUCGGACCAACGCAAACGGAGACUUUCUAGAUUUUCCACUCCUACUGCUAAUGAAGUUGAAGUCCCAAGUCUACAUGAUGAGUUCAUCUCCCGUACUCCACCAUCGCAGGUGCUUGCUCUAAGUUGACAAUGUGAUAAUUGGUUUCAUGUUGCAUAUGUUGUUUAGCCUGUUUCUUCUAUUUUGAUUAAAUUGCACCUGUUGAGUUUAUACGUUAUACAUGUGUGUAUGACAUGCCUUUUUGUGUCUAGAAUACACCGCAUCUAUCAAUCAUACCAUGUUCUUACAUCAAAUUACUGCUGUUGCGUAUCCUGCAUUAGUCACUCAUGAUUGGACGCUUUUAACAUGGCAGUUUGAUAGUGGUUGCAUCUUGCAUUGAUUUCUACAUUGUACUGCAUCUAAUUUUUUCAAAUGCCACUUCUGAUAAGACACUUUUAACUUGGCAGAGUGAUAUUGGUUGCAUCUUUCAUAUGGUGUCUAGCUUGGAUUACUUCUAUUUUAUUGAAAAUAUUCCUGCUUAGUUUACACAUCGUAGCUGUGAAUAUGUCACGCCGUCUUGUUUUUCUUACAUAUUCCAUCCUCAUACGAUUGUCUUACAUGAAAGUAUUGCUUGUAUGUAUCAUGCAUCAAUGAGUUCUAAAGAGCGAUUUUAUUCUUUUGUGUUGUGGGUACGACUUGACAUGGCAAAGUAAAAGAAGAUCAAGGAAAAGAAUAUAGUAGGGAAUGGUGUUACUCGUCGGGUGAAACGGAAAAGGAUCUGCCCUCGAGAUUCUGCUGGUAGUUAUAGUGCAGUAGAAGGUCCAAGUCCACCGGCUAAAUCUACAAACACAGUAUCACAUACUCCACCAGCUACAGCAUCCGCUUCAACUGUACCAGCAUAUCAAUGAGUUACUCGUUCAUUUGCUCCAGAACUGGCUAGUUCCCAAGCUGCCUUCACACCUAACACUACUUCCGAAGCACUGCUAACACAACAGGACUUGGCAAGAUCAGAUGAACCUCAUGAGCAUCAACACCAAGACGGUACCUGACCGAGUCAAGUUGCAGUUGCAUGCUGCUUUAUAUGUACUCUCACAGUUUGAUGUGCACUAACACUUUCCAUAUUAGUUGUUGAACUAGCACCACAGCGCAAGCGGAAACAGACAUCAGGGACAAUGCUUGACAGAUUAACAAAAUCUAAAGGAGGAAGAAUUGAGAUCCAUUUUGAGGCAGGUUUAAAAAGGCCACAUGAUGCUACAGAGUCAGCCAAGUUAGUAUCAGAGGCAGCCAUUGACGGGCCAGAAGUGACCAUGGGCCGCGAUGAUGAUGAGUUUAGGACGGGUCGUUGACAGGCCGAUUUGACACUAGCCGUACGGGCCUUAACUGAGAAUGUUGGGCCUUUAGCUGGGCGGGCCCAUUAUGAUCUGCAAAAUCUUGGGGACCUUUAGCUGGGCCGGCCCAUUAUGGUCCGCUAAAUCUUGUGGGCCUUUAGUUGGGCCGGCCCAUUUAAUCUUUAUAGGCCACUUUUGGGCCGGUCCACGUGUCAACAUAUCAUAGGUGCAUCUCGCCCAUUGGAUGAGUGACACAUGUGCCAACGCAAAGCUUACAUGUGGUUCCUUCAGCUAAUGAGAAUUUUACAUGUGGAAAAUCUGCGUUGGUCUUGGCUGCUAGCAGGUGAAUGGAUCCAAAACCGGACCAGAUAGCUUAACGGCGACCCGUUACGGUGGAUGCCAUGUGUCGGUCACCCUUGAUGAAAGCACUUCUAUGAAGAGUGAUUUAUCGUCAUGGAAGUGGACACUUCCAUGAUGAUAAUUUUGGUGAUGCCAUGGAACACUUCUACGACAGCACAUGUAUGACUAUCUUGAUUCUGUCAUAAAAGCAUCAUGGAUGUACAUGCAUGACAGAAAACGUGACCUACUAUGACAAACACGUAUCAUCACGGAAGUGUAUUUUUUUUUGUAGUGAUGACAAUAUCCAGGCAAUGAUCAUUAUAUAGGCAUCACGUCCAACAUUAGUAGACCGACUCCUGCUUGCAUCUACUACUAUUACUCCACACAUCGACUGCUAUCCAGGAUGCAUCUAGUGUAUUAAGUUCAUGGAGAAACGGAGUAAUGAAAUAAGAACGAUGACAUGAUGUAGACAAGAUCCAUUUAUGUAGAAAUAGACCCCAUCUUGUUAUCCUUAAUAGCAACGAUACAUACGUGUCGCUUCCCCUUCUGUCACUGGGAUCAAGCACCGCAAGAUUGAACCCAUCACAAAGCACCUCUUCCCAUGGCAAGAAAAAUCGGUCUAGUUGGCCUAACUAAACCAAAGAUUUUAAGAAGAAAUACGAGGCUAUAAGUAAUCAUGCAUAUAAGAGAUCAAAAGACUCAAAUAACUUUCAUGGAUAAAAACAUAUAUCUGAUCAGAAACUCAAAGUUCAUCGGAUCCCAACAAACACACCACAAAAAGAGUUACAUCAAAUAGAUCUCCAAGAGACCAUUGUAUCUAGCUACUAACUACGGACCUGUAGGUCUACAAAAGACUAUUCACACAUCAUCGAAGAGGCACCAAUGAGGAUGAUGAACCCCUCCGUGAUGGUGUUUAGAUUGGAUUUGUGGUUUCUGGAACUUGCGGCGGCUAGAAUUGAUUUUCGUCGACUCCCUCCUCAUAAUGGUGGCCACCGGGAUGACUGUGGCACCCCGGCUCAGAGCGACCGGUUUACCCUGCAUUGCCAGCCCAGAGACCAUGUCUUCUGGCAACACACAACAUCUUGGUACAGAAAAACAACCGCUUUAUUGAUGCUAGCGGAUCGGAGUUUAUAUUACAACAAAUGUCAAGGCCAAGCAGCACGCACGGUGCGGCUGAACAAUAUGUACAUUAUUUAGUGAACAUAAAGGGGCCUCGAUCAUAACAACUAUGCGGCAGCGGAACAACGUCGUAGCGGAAACUCCAUAGCAUAGGGACACCGAUGUGGACACGAUCUAGACUCGAGCAGCGCUCCUUUCCAACUCGACUUUCCUGAAAUCUGGCAUGGCACGCCAGGUCAGUACAUUAAAUGUACUUGCAAGCUCACAACAAGCAUAAUCAUAAUGACAAACAAUAUCAUGAUAAUUAACCAGUUAUGAAUGCAAUAAUGUUCCAACAUGCUGUGAUCAUGCUCUUGUGAUAAACGUCCCUCGGGACCGACUUACCAACCGUGAUCGUUCUCGGAUCACAAACAAACCACCAUCGUGGUCUUGACCAGAGUAACUCGUGAUCCUUACGGAGAUCACAACCACGACCAAUAUUUGGUCUCGAACAUCUCGAUGGCCUUUCCGCCAUCAUCAACAGUGCAAAUUUCAUGACUUAGUGUGCAAGUUUAUUAAACGUUGACUCAUGGUGGGACCUACUAUGAGGCGUCCGUGACCGUGGACUCGGCAAUCGACAGAUUAUACACUCUGCAGAGGUAGCACACUGUACCCACACCAUGGAACCCAUGGCCUCACACUCCCAUUCGGGUGGACCAAUGGCAUUCCGAUGAAACCCUUCCAUUGCCAUGGCACUCUCCCGACCACUCCGACCCUAUCCCCAACGGGCUAGUCCUGGGUGGCCCCGUGUCUACCAAAGACACAUCGACCACCGUCGUGGCCAAAACGAUCCCACUCGGGGACCCGGUACCAUAAUCUCAAUAAUGGGCACACAAGGUUAUGCGUGCUUACCGGGCCAGGGUAAGCAUGCCCAUAACCUUCCCUAGUUGGAGGCACCGACUAGAGGCAUGUCAAUGGACCGAAUCAAGGCCUUCCCACAAAGGCAAAUGUGGUUGCACUGGGAAAAUCUCGAUUCAGCGGCACCAUGACCCAGUCAACGAUAUAUUCAAGUUGAGUUAUAUUCAGGUUCAACUUAAAAUGAAAAUGACCGGUGUCAUAGCAUGCCAUGAAAUGCAAUACUACACAUGCAUCACAUAUUAACGAAAAUGACUGAUGUUAACCAUAUUCACACUAAGCAUAAGCAUCAACAACUUAUAUUACUUUCCUGGACAGGGUAACUCCCACUUUAACAAUAUAUUUUGCAGCAAGUAUUAUCAUUUUCUCAUCCAAGAAAAUAACUUCGAUUAAUUUCUCAUAUGCAUAGCAAAAAUUUACUAUCAUCACCACAAUCAAAUCCUAAUUUCUUUACUAACCAAGUUAGGUUCAAACAUUCUAUAAAUGGCUAAACAAGUACUUAACAGAAUAUUUUCUAGAAAAUUUAACUAUUUUAUUUAUGCAAAAAAUAACUUUAAGUAAUUACUCAUAUGCAUAACAAAUCAUUUUAUCAUUACCACAAGUAGGCCUUAGCCUUUGUUUAAUAACUAAACUAGUUCCAAACAUUCUGUAAAUCAAGCAUAAUGACUAACAAAUACUUGAUAGAAUAUAAGACAAGCGUCACGCUCUGAAAAUAAAUUUAAGCACAAGAAGAAAAUAUCAAGAACUCUUCUGAAAAUCACCAGAAAUUCUAGACAACUCAGAAAAAUCUCAUUUUUGGUGAGCUGCUAGAUUUCUUUGCAACGAACAUAAUGCAAAAAGAAUCAAGUCAUUUGGACUUAUGGUUGAAGAGUUAUAGCUGUUUGAAGCUCUCUGGAAAUGGAUUGAAUUUGAAUUUAAAUAAAACAUACUAGGGGGGUGACGUCGAAGGCGUAAAGCCUCAGGGCACCACCACUCGUACCGCUUCGCGCACGUACUGAGUGGCUGACUAGCGGGCCCUGCUAGUCAGGUGAGAAGGAGGGGAGAAGGAAACAGAGGGGGUCGUGGCUUCGCCGGAGCUCUUGCCGGUGACGAGGGCUCCUUGGCCAAAACGAGAGGGAGGGAUUGAGAGAGGGGGUGGAGGCGCACCUGCCCGUACCCGUAGCGUAGCUAGGGGUGGUCAAACAGCGUCAGAACCGACCUCGCAAGCGGAGGGAGAGGGCGGUGGUCGCCGGAGAUGAGGAAGACUGCGAGCAGAGGCAACUUCAGGGGCUCUAGGGGGACGGGAUGGCUUCACCGGAGAGAGGCGGAGGCCCUGGAAGGAUCGCCCUGGCCUGGGAGGGGCUGGAGCUACCGCGACGACCAGAGGGGAUCGCCGGCGAGCUCGAGCUCAAGGACGGCGGCCAGCGGCCUGCCCGACCAGGCUACGGUUUCUUGCGCGCUUGUGGGGUGUGUGGGAGUGGUGGAUGGUGCUCGAGGAGGCUGGGGGCGGCUCCAUUUUUAGGCGAGCAGAGAGGGGGGGUUCGGGCUCCGCCGGUGGACACCUGUCCACGGCGCCCGGCGACAAGCGGCGUCAGUGAGAGGGGGAGAAGGCGACGCAGCUCACGCGGCGACUGUUGGCAAACGGGGACGAACACAGGAACGAGCAGAAGGCGACAAGCAUAGUGUGCACCGCACUGUUGGGUUGGCCGGACCGUGUCCGUGCUCGCUGCGGCGAGCUCUGGCAUCGGCGAGCGCCUGGGGGUGUUAAUAGCGUUCAGACGAGGAUGGUGGCAAAGUUUGGCACGCUCGGGCAGAUGAGGGAAGCGAGCACGCGCGAACACAGCGCUCGGUGGAACCCAGAGCGUGCUGAUAAGCAUGCUGGCAUCAUGGACACGCGCGGUCACCACGUGAACUCUUCCCUCAGGCCGACCAAUGUCCAAAGAUCAUGUCUGGCUUGAUGUUCGUGGUAGUUUUGAGGAUUACCACGCUUUGGUUUGGCUCCAGAUGCAGUAGAGAAGAUUUUACAUGCCAGGUAAGUUUCUGAUCAGUAACUUUGAGAUGUUACUGAGGUCAAAUGGUUGGGAGUUGGGGGCUGUGCUUUGGAGGCUAGCCAUCAUCUACCAAGGUGAUGAUGCACAAGAAAAUUCAGGCACAAUGGAGCAAGUAAAAUGGUAGUUGAUGUAGAAACCACCAUUUCUGUCCAGAACAGAAAAUAUUUUCUGUAGCAAAAAUAUUCCAAAAAGUGAUGAAAUAUUUUUGCUCGGGAAGGUGCCCUAGGGUUUAAAGAAUAUUUGGGAAUUUUCUCAGAUUUUUGUCAGCAAGAAAAAUGAGGGUUACUUUGGAGCUCAUUGAACUAGCUAGGGUUUUAGAGAGGAAAAAUGAAUAUUUUUCUUUAUUCCCAAGAUUAUUUUGAGGUGGAUCAGGAGGGGAAUGAUGAUUAGAGAGGGGAAUGAUGCACUUGGUUGAAAUCCAAGGGCACCCAAGUGUUUAAGUCCAUAUGAAAAGAUACAAAAACCCCAACUUUCAAAAUAAAUCCAAAUGAAAAUCAGGCAAAUAAGAGAGGGCAAGAAUCAGGCUGUCACAAUGAUGAAGAUGGUUACCGGUGAUGAUUUCCUCCUCCGGCAGGGUGUCGGAACAGGGUCUAGAUUGGUUUUUCAUGGCCAUAGAGGCCUGCGGCAGCGGAACUUCUGAUCUAGGGUUACCCCCGGGGUUUUGGAAUAUUUGGGAAUUUAUAGGGCCAAGAGGCGGUGCGGGAGGCCACCGAGGUGGGCACAACCCACCAGGGCGCGCCUGGGCCCCCAGGCGCGCCCAUGUGUGUGGUGCCCUGAUGACCCACAAGUAUAGGGGAUCAAUUGUAGCUCUUUUUGAUAAGUAAGAGUGUCGAACCCAACAAGGAGCACAAGGAAAUGACAAGUGGUUUUCAGCAAGAUAAUGUCUGCAAGUGCUGAAAUUGUUAGUAGUAGAUUAGCUUGAUAGCAAGAUAAUUUGUAAUGAGCAAGUAACGAUUGAAGGAAAUAUGCCCUAGAGGCAAUAAUAAAGUUGUUAUUUAUAUUUCCUUAUAUCAUGAUAAAUGUUUAUUAUUCAUGCUAGAAUUGUAUUAACCGGAAACUUAGUACAUGUGUGAAUACAUAGACAAACAAAGUGUCACUAGUUUGCCUCUACCUGACUAGCUCGUUGAAUCAAUGAUGGUUAUGUUUCCUGACAAUAGACAUGAAUUGUCAUUUGAUUAACGGGAUCACAUCAUUAGGGAAUGAUGUGAUUGACUUGACCCAUCCAUUAGCUUAGCACGAUAAUCAUUUAGUUUAUUGCUAUUGCUUUCUCCAUAACUAUACAUGUUCCUAUGACUAUGAGAUCAUGCAACUCCCGGAUACCGAAGGAACACUUUGUGUGCUACCAAAUGUCACAACGUAACUGGGUGAUUAUAAAGGUGCUCUACAGGUAUCUCCGAGGGUGUUUGUUGAGUUAGCACGGAUCUAGAUUAGGAUUUGUCACUCCGAUUGUCGGAUAGGUAUCUCUGGGCCCUCUCGGUAAUGUACAUCACUAUAAGCCUUGCAAGCAAUGUAGCUAAUGAGUUAGUUACGGGGUGUAGCAUUACGGAACGAGUAAAGAGACUUGCCGGUAACAAGAUUGAACUAGGUAUUGAGAUACCGGCAAUCGAAUCUCAGGCAAGUAACAUACCGAUGACAAAGGGAACAACAUAUAUCGUUAUGCGGUUUGACCGAUAAAGAUCUUCAUUGAAUAUGUAGGAACCAAUAUGAGCGUCUAGGUUCUGCUAUUGGUUAUUGACCGGAGACAUGUCUCGGUCAUGUCUACAUAGUUCUCGAACCCGUAGGGUCCGCACGCUUAAUGUUCGGUGACGACCGGUAUAAUGAGUUUAUGUGUUUUGAUGUACCGAAGGUAGUUUGGAGUCCUGGAGUUGAUCACGGACAUGACGAGGAGUCUCGAAAUGGUCGAGACAUAAAGAUCGAUAUAUUGGACGACUAUGUUUGGACAUCGGAAGGGUUCCGAGUGAAGUCCGGGCAUAUACCAAAGUACCGGGGGGUUAGCGGAACCCCCCAGGGAGUUUAAUGGGCCUUAUGGGCUUUAGUGGAAAGAGUGGAGGGGCUGCGAGGGCAGGCCGCGUGCCCCUCCCCCUCUGGUCUGAAUUGGACUAGGAAGGGGGGCGGUGCCCCCCUUUCCUUCUCCCUCUUUCCUCCUUCCUUCUCCUACUCCUACUACAUGGAAAGGGGGGAAUCCUUCUCCCAGUGGGAGUAGGACUCCCCAUGGGGCGCGCCAUAGGAGGGUCGGCCCUCCCCCUCCUCCACUCCUUUAUAUACGGGGGAGGGGCACCCCAUAGACAAACAAGUUAAUCAUUGACCUUUUAGCCGUGUGCGGUGCCCCCCUCCACCAUAGUCCAGCUCGGUUAUAUCGUAGCGGUGCUUAGGCGAAGCCCUGUUCCGGUAGCAACAUCAUCACCGUCAUCAUGAAGUCGUGUUGACGAAACUCUCCCUCGAAGCUCUACUGGAUCGUGAGUUCGCGGGACGUCACCGAGCCAAACAUGUGCAGAUCGCGGAGGUGCCGUAUCUUUGGUGCUAGGUCCGUCGAUCGUGAAGACGUAUGACUACAUCAACCGCAUUGUCAUAAUGCUUCCGCUCACGGUCUACGAGGGUAUGUAUAUGAUACUCUACCCUCUCAUUGCUAUGCAUCACCAUGAUCUUGCGUGUGUAUAGGAAAAUUUUGAAAUUACCACAUUCCCCAAUAGUGGCAUCCGAGCCAGGUUUAUGCAUAGAUGUUAUAUGCACGAGUAGAACACAAAGGAGUUGUGGGCGUGGGUAUAUACAUAUUGCUUGUCGUCACUAGUUGAUUCUUCAUUCAGCGGCAUUGUUGGACGAAGCGGCCCAGAUCGACAUUGCGCGUACGCUUACGCAAGACUGGUUCUACCGACGUGCUUCGCACACAGGUGGCUAGUGGGUGUUUGUUUCUCCAGCUUUAGUUGAAUCAGAUUCAAUGAACAGGGUUCUUUCUGAAGAUCAAAAAGUAAUCACUAUACCGCAUUGUGGUUUUCGAUGCAUAGGUAAGAACGGUUCUUGCUCAGCCCGUAGCAGCCAUGUAAAACUUGCAACAACAAAGUAGAGGACAUCUAACUUGUUUUUGCAGGGCAUGUUGUGAUGUGAUAUGUUCAAGACAUGAUGCUAAAUUUUAUUGUAUGAGAUGAUCAUGUUUUGUAACAUAGUUAUCGGCAACUGGUAGGAGCCAUAUGGUUUUCGCUUUAUUGUAUGAAAUGCAAUCGCCAUGUAAUUGCUUUACUUUACCACUAAGCGGUAGCGAUAGUCGAAGAAGCAAUAGUUGGCGAGAUGACAAUGAUGCUUCGAUGGAGAUCAAGGUGUCAAGCCGGUGACGAUGGUGAUCAUGACGGUGCUUUGGAGAUGGAGAUCAAAGGCACAAGAUGAUGAUGGCCAUAUCAUAUCACUUAUAUUGAUUGCAUGUGAUGUUUAUCCUUUAUGCAUCUUGUUUUGCUUAGUUCGCUGGUAGCAUCAUAAGAUAAUCUCUCACUAAAUUUCAAGGUAUAAGUGUUCUCCCUGAGUAUGCACUGUUGCUACAGUUCGUCGUGCUGAGACACUACGUGAUGAUCGGGUGUGACAAGCUCUACGUUCACAUACAACGGGUGCAAGCCAGUUUUGCACACGCAAAAUACUCGGGUUAAACUUGAUGAGCCUAGUGACGAUGUCGUGUACCUAGGGUAGGGCAAUAGACCUGAUUAAAGCAUCCCUCCCAAGGACACUGCCCUACAUUCAAACACAAUCAAAGGACAGCAAGUUCAAACUGACUGGAAUCACUAGAGUGCGUGCCCACUUGACCAACAUCUCCAUUCGGAUAUCCCAAUUCCAUUCGACUGGCAUAUCAUCACUCAAAUGUACAAGAAACCACUCGAAGUAUAGAAGGCCUAAAGUCACCCCAGGCAGCAACGGUCCAGCAUUCACUCCGUAGUAUUAAUGAUCAGUUAUAUGACUUUAAUGCUCGCGUUACCAAUAACGCCAUGUCUUAACGUACAUUCAACCCUGUGUAACGUGGGAUGGCGGGGGUCCUGGCGCACUCUAUAUAAGCCGCCCCCUCCUCUGGCAUAAGGGUUCAGACCCCCUGUAACUUCAUGCAUAAUCCAAUCGACCAAGCCUCCGGGCACCGAGACGUAGGGAUGUUACUUCCACCGCGAAGGGCCCGAACUCGUCCAUCUUGCCUGCACAAUCUCAUUGUAGCUAGGAUCUUGCCUUUACAUUCCCACCCCCUACUUUACUGUCAGACUUAGAACCACGACACCUAGCAUAUGCAGAUAUGGCCUCGGAACAUUGGAGACCGAAAGGUCGAGCGUGAAUCAUAUAGUAGAUAUGAUCAACAUACUGAUGUUCACCAUUGAAAACUACUCCAUCUCACGUGAUGAUCGGACAUGGUUUACUUGAUAUGGAUCACCUGAUCACUUAGAUGAUUAGAGAGAUGUCUAUCUAAGUGGAGGUUCUUAUGUAAUUUGAUUAAUUGAACUUUAAUUUGUCAUGAACUUAGUACCUGAUAGUAUUUUGCAUGUCUAUGUUGUUGUAGAUAGAUGGCCCAUGAUGUUGUUCCGUUGAAUUUUAAUGCGCUCCUAGAGAAAGCUAAGUUGAAAGAUGAUGGUAGCAACUACACGGACUAGGUCCGUAACUUGAGGAUUAUCCUCAUUGCUGCACAGAAGAAUUACGUCCUGGAAGCACCGUUAGGUGACAAACCCGCUGUAGGAGCACCGCCAGAUGUUAUGAACACCUAGCAGAGCAAAGCUGAUGACUACUUGAUAGUUCAGUGUGCCAUGCUUUACGUCUUAGAACUGGGACUUCAACGAUGUUUUGAACGUCAUGGAGCAUAUGAGAUGUUCCAGGAGUUGAAGUUAAUAUUUCAAGCAAAUGCCCGGUUUGAGAGAUAUGAUGUCUCCAAUAAGUUCUACAGCUGCAAGAUGGAUGAGAAUAGUUCUGUCAUUGAACAUAUACUCAGAAUGUCUGGGUACCACAACCACUUGACUCAACUGGGAGUUAAUCUUCCUGGUGAUAGUGUCAUUGACAGAGUUCUUCAAUCACUGCCACCAAGAUACAAGAGCUUCGUGAUGAACUAUAUUAUGCAAGGGAUGGAUAAGACGAUUCCAAAGCUCUUUGCAAUGCUAAAGGCUGCGGAGGUAGAAAUCUAGAAGGAUCAUCAAGUGUGGAUGGUCCACAAGACCACCAGUUUCAAAAAAAAGGGUAAAGGGAAGGAGGGAAACUUCAAGAAGAACACCAAGCCAGUUGCUUCUCAAGUGAAGAAACCCAAGUCUGGACCUAAGCCUGAGACUGAGUGCUUCUACUUCAAAGGAACUGGUCACUGGAACCGGAACUGCCCCAAGUAUUUGGCGGAGAAGAAGGAUGGCAGAGUGAAAGGUAUAUUUGAUAUACAUGUUAUUGAUGUGUACCUUAGUAAUGCUCGCAGUAGUGCCUGGGUAUUUGAUAUUGGUUCAGUUGCUAACAUUUGCAACUUGAAACAGGGGCUACGGAUUAAGCGAAGAUUCGCUAAGGAUGAGGUGACGAUGCGCGUGGGAAAUGGUUCCAAAGUCGAUGUGAUUGCCAUCGGCAGCUACCUCUACAUCUACCUUCGGGAUUAGUUUUAGACCUAAAUAAUUGUUAUUUGGUGCCAGCGUUGAGCAUGAACAUUAUAUCUGGAUCUUGUUUUAUGUGAGAAGGUUAUUCAUUUAAAUUAUAGAAUAAUGAUUGUUCUAUUUAUAUGAGUAAUAUAUUUUAUGGUCAUGCACCCUUGAUGAGUGGUCUAUUUUUACUAAAUGUUGAUAGUAGUGAUACACAUGUUCAUAGUAUUGAAGCCAAAACAUGCAGAGUUGAUAAUGAUAGUGCAACUUAUUUGUGGGACUACCGUUUAAGUCAUAUUGGUGUAAAGCGCAUGAAGGAACUCCAUUCUGAUGGACUUCUAGAAUCACUUGAUUAUGAAUCACUUGGUACUUGCGAACCAUGCCUCAUGGGCAAGAUGACUAAAACUCCGUUCUCCGGAACAAUGGAGCGAGCAACAAAGUUAUUAGAAAUCAUACAUACUGAUGUAUGUGGUCCAAUGAACAUUGAAGCUCACGGCGGAUAUCGUUAUUUUCUCACCUUCAUAGAUGAUUUGAGUAGAUAUGGGUAUAUCUACUUGAUGAAACAUAAGUCUGAAACAUUUGAAAAGUUCAAAGAAUUUCAGAGGGAAGUGGAAAAUCAUCGUAACAAGAAAAUCAAGUUUCUACGAUCUGAUCGUGGAGGCGAAUAUUUGAGUUAUGAGUUUGGACUUCAUUUGAAACAAUGAAUUUGGACUUAACGUACAUUGAACCCUAAGUAACAUGGGAUGGCGGGGGUCCUGGCGCACUCUAUAUAAGCCACCCCCUCCUUUGGCACAAGGGUUCGGACCCCCUGUAACUUCACGCAUAAUCCAAUCGACCAAGCCUCCGGGCACCAAGACGUAGGGAUGUUACUUCCACCGUGAAGGGCCUGAACUCGUACAUCUUGCGUGCACAAUCUCACCGUAGCUAGGAUCUUGCCUUUACAUUCCUACCCCCUACUUUACUAUCAUACUUAGAACCACGACAGUUGGCGCCCACCGUGGGGCAGGUGUCUGAGCGACUUUCCGGUGAGGUUGCGAUUUCUCCGAGUCCUUUCAUCAUGGUUUCCAGCUGAGGUUUGGCUGAGGGCUGCGAGAUCCAUCUCGGCGCGCUUGUCUUCAUCGUCAACAACUCUGCUUGGCUUCAGGAAGCUCCUCUCGACAUCGAGGCGCUCCCCAUCAGCGGGGCGACACACUUUCGUGCGUGCCUUCGCGGCGUCCUUCUGCGGCAACCGUCGACUCAGUAUUGGUCGGCCCCCGCGGCAUCUUCGCUCCCCGCUGUUUGCCGUCACAAGCGAUCCAGUCGGUCACGGCUACAGCGGUGCGUGAAGCAUGCGGUGGCGCGUCAGUCGGCCACCCCUCGAGUCACGGCAAUCGAGCCCGAUGAAUCUCUCUAUGGCCUAUUCGACCUGUCGACUGGCUCCGUCGAGACCUUGUCCGAGUGCGACAGCAGCGACCCCGCGGCGGAGGUCCUGAUGGUUGACACGCCUUGCAGUCCGUCUAGCAUGCGUCGCAAUAGUGGCGAUGACGGCGCCGGUGAUCCAUCGCGCGUUCAUGAAGAGUACCACCCCGAAACUCUCUCUUCUCAGCAGAGGGAGGAACUUCACCGCCACAAUGUGGAGGCCCUCCACACGCCCAUUGUCGGCGAGUCCUCUGAGGCUUGGGCCUUGGAGGCGGCGCAUUUGGCCACUUUGGCUGAGCGCACCCGACUGGAAAACCUUCAGCGUGCACUCGACGACCGUGCUCGCCGAUAGAUCCCUGAGUCCAGUCGACGGCAGCGACAUCUAUUUCCACCUGAACCACAGGUAUACCGCACUCCGAUUCAGAAUCUUACCGCUGCGGCCCGUAUAGCAGAAUCUAUUCAGCCGUCCCAGUCGGAAGCUGGUAGAGGUUUGAUGCAGAUCAGAGCGCUGCUCCGAGCAGCGGGAGAGCAGAAUAUUGCAGUGUCUCAGUCGUGUAACAGAAUCCAUAGCAGAUCUGUAGUUGGUGACACUGUUCAGUCGGCUCACAGCCCAAGAUCGCCUCCACAGCAUGAAGGACGAGGGCAUCGCCAAGAGCAGUAGUUGAGUCGGAACCAUGAGCAGCACAAUCAUUGGCUCGACCGUGAUGACCGCCGUCGAGUGCCUACAACCCUCCGAGGGGAGAAUCAUAUGUGCCCUGGCAUUAUGAUGAUAGGCGCCCGUACAACAAAGAGCAGAGGAGGCCAGUCGACCCAAGAGAACUAGGAUUUGAUGCAAGGUCCAGUUUGGUAUGAGGCUUGGUGGACAGGAAUUGAGCACAUAGAGAAGGGCAAGACAGAGAUCGCCCGACUGGAAGAAGAGUGCAUGUUUCUGGUCCGGAGUGUUUUAGCAGAGCCAUCAGGGCUGCAAAGAUCCCUCCCAACUUCAGGUUGGCGACUGGGGUCAGUAAGUUCACUGGUGAAUCAAAGCCUGACACCUGGCUUGAGGACUAUCGAGUGGCUAUGCAGAUCAGUGGAGGAAACGAUGAAGUGGGCAUGAAGCAUCUGCCCCUGAUGCUUGAAGGGUCGGCUAGAGCUUGGUUGAAUCAGUUGACCCUGAGCAGUAUUUUCAGCUGGGAGGAGUUGGCUCAAGUGUUUGUCAGAACGUUCGAGGGCACGUGCAAAUGGCUAGCAGGAUUGGCAGAAUUGCAACACUGUGUGCAAAAACCGAAUGAAACUUUGAGGGAUUACAUCCAGAGGUGGUCCACUUUGCAUCACACGGUGAAGAAUGUGUCUCAGCACCAAGCAGUUUGUCCCUUCAAGGAGGGCGUUCGGUAUGGGAACUCAACCUGAAAUUCGGUCAGACAGGAGAUAUGUCUUUGACCCGAAUGAUGCAGAUAGCCACUCGAUACGCAAACGAUGAAGAAGAAGACCGGUCCGCAGCGGCAGGAGCAAACUAGUCGGCCAAGACACUGGAGGAGGUAAUUUCAAUCGGAAGCAGAAGUACAAAGCAGAACCUGCGGGCCUUGGAGAGGUUGCGGUCGCAACCCAAGGAAAAGCUAAAGGAAAACCUAAAGGGCCCUGGACCCCCAAGGAGGCGAAGGAUUCAACCGGGAAUUACGUGUUGGAUUUUCCAUGUCACAUUCACAUUAAGAUAGAUGAAGAGGGUAAUCUAAUCUAUCCCAAGCAUACCACUCGACAGUGUCGAGUCCUUAUACAGCAGUUCCGAGAAAAGCAACCCAGUGAAAAAGAGAAGGAAUCUAAUAAGGAUGAGGAUAAAGAAGAGGAUGAUGAAGGAUUUCCCAAUGUUAAUUCCACUUUGGUGAUCUUUGCUGACCUCGAAAGCAAAAGUCGACUGAAAGUCAUCAACAGGGAAGUAAACAUGGUCGCUCUGACGAUAAUGAAGUAUCUAAAAUGGUCAAAGACUCCUAUCACAUUCGACCAGUCGGACCACCCGCCGCACAUUGCCACCCCUGGGAGGAAAGCGUUGGUGGUCGAUCCGGUCAUUGGGGGCACCCGAUCGGCCAAAGUCUUGAUGGAUGGUGGCAGCGGAUUGAACAAUUUGUAUGCUAAGACCUUCUGAGGGAUGGGCAUCCCGAUGUCCAAACUCAGCGAGAGCAACAUGCGGUUCCACGGAGUUAUACCUGGAAAGAAAGCCGAUUGAGUCGGGCAGAUCACUCUUGAUGUGGCUUUUGAUGAUUCAAAGAAUUACCAUAAGGAAAAGUUGACAUUUGAAGUCGUGGAUUUUCAUGGUGCCUAUCAUGCUAUCCUGGGCAAAACUGUGUAUGCCCCGUUCAUGGCUCGACCGUGUUAUGUGUAUCUCAAACUCAAGAUGCCUAGCCCUAGGGGCGUGCUCACAGUCACUGGUAUUUGGUAGCGAGCAGAAGAGUGCUUCCAAAAGGGCUCGAAGAUUGCCGAUGAAGAGAUGGCAGCAAUAGAAAUGGAAGAAUACAAGAAGACAACAGAUCCGAGUGAUUUGUUGAGAGCUAAAAAGCCUGCUUUAGAGUCUGCAUUUAAGUCGUCUGGUGAAACAAAGUCAGUUCAUAUUCACCCGACUGAUCCCAAUGCUGCUAUGACUCAUAUAUCAACAACACUCGAUAGCAAAUAGGAAGAAGCGCUCAUCCAGUUCCUCCACGAGAACUGGGACAUCUUUGCAUGGAAACCUUCUGACAUGCCAGGUGUACCCAGAGAACUGGUCGGGCAUUGUUUGCGAGUCGACCCAAAAGCAAGACCUGUCAAAGAACACCUCCGAUGGUCCGCUGUGGAGAAAAGAAAGGCAAUUGGCGAGGAAGUGGCUCGGCUUUUGGCGGCUGAGUUCAUCCGAGAGAUUUACCACUCCGAGUGGCUCGCCAAUGUCUCCAUGGUUCCCAAGAAGGAUGAUUCACUCUGUAUGUGUAUUGACUUCAAGCAUAUUAAUUGGGCAUGCCCGAAAGAUCACUUCCCUCUCCCUCACAUCGAUCAAAUAGUCGACUCGACUGCGGGAUGUGAGCGGUUGUCCUUUCUGGACGCAUACUCUAGGUAUCAUCAGAUCCGAUUGUAUGGACCUGAUGAAAUAAAAACAUCUUUCAUCACCCCAUUCGGGUGCUUUUGCUAUGUUACCAUGCCCUUUGGUCUCAAGAAUGCUGGCGCCACAUUCAUGUGUAUGAUACAGAAGUGCCUGCUCACUCAAAUCAGUCAGAAUGUGGAAGCAUACAUGGAUGACAUCGUGGUUAAGUCGCGAAAAGGUUCCAACCUGCUGACUAACCUCACUGAAACCUUUGCCAAUCUGAGAAGAUAUGAUAUCAAGCUUAACCUGUCGAAGUGUACAUUUGGAGUUCCAGGUGGAAAGUUACUCGGUUUUCUUGUUUCUGGACGAGGUAUCGAUGCAAACCCAGAGAAAGUUGGUGCAAUACUCCGAAUGAAACGCCCUGUGCGCAUACACGACGUUCAGAAGCUUACUGGUUGUUUGGCCACUUUGAGUCGGUUCAUCUCUCAUCUCAGUGAAAAGGCAUUACUUCUUUACCGAUUGAUGAAGAAAUCGGAUAAGUUCGAGCGGACUCCUGAAGCCGACGCAGCGUUUGUAGAUCUCAAAACCCUGCUUUCCACCUAGACAGUGCUCGCUGCUCCAAUUAGCAAAGAGCCUUUACUGCUUUAUAUUGCAGCCACUGGACAAGUUGUCAGUACAGUACUCACGGUCGAGCGGGAAGAAGAAGGUGAAGCCUAUAAGGUUCAGCGCCCAGUGUAUUAUAUUUCUGAAGUCUUAACUCUGUCCAAGAAGAGAUAUCCGGCUUAUCAGAAGCUUGUCUAUGGAAUUUACUUGACUUCGAAGAAAGUGGCACAUUAUUUCUUAGAUCAUUCCAUCACAGUCGUCAGCGAUGCUUCAUUGUCAGAAAUUCUGAACAACAGAGAUGCAACUGGUUGAGUGGCAAAGUGGGCGAUUGAACUCCUUUCGUUGGAUAUCAAGUUUGAGGCAAAGACAGCAAUCAAGUCCCAAGCAAUAGCAGAUUUCCUCGUCGAGUGGAUUGAACAGCAGCAACUGACUCAAGUUCAGUCGGAACAUUGGACUAUGUUUUUGAUGGAUCCAAGAUGCUAAACGGUUCUGGUGCUAGAGUAGUUCUGGUAUCUCUGUGAGGCGACAAACUCAGGUAUGUCCUUCAGAUUCACUUUGAUUCCUCCAACAAUGAAGACAAAUAUGAAGCACUUCUAUAUGGGUUGCGAAUGGUGAUUUCACUCGGCGUCCGUCGCCUAAUGGUCUACGGUGACUCGUAUUUGGUGGUCAAUCAAGUGAUGAAAGAGUGGGAUGUCAGAAUUCCAGCUAUGACUGGUUAUUGCAAUCCAGUAAGAAAGCUAGAAAAGAAGUUUGAAGGCCUAGAGCUCCACCACAUUCCCCGACUGAAGAACCAGGCAUCAGAUGACCUGGCAAAGAUAGGUUCCAAGCGAGAGCCUAUUCCCAGCAAUGUGUUUUUGGAGCAUCUUCACACACCAUCAGUUCAAGAGGAUCCCUUCACAGAAGAACCCCCACAGCCCAAGAGUUCUAUUGAUCCGACUGAAGUUGAAGUCCCAGCCGUGGUCGACUUAGUCAUGGAGGUUUUUGUCGUCAUUCCUGACUGGACAGUACCAUAUAUUGCAUAUAAUCUCAAGAAAGAACUUCCAGAAGACAACAAUGAAGCAUGACAGAUUCACUACAAAAAAUAGACACAUCUGUGACAUUUUGGGCCGAACGAAAAAAAAUUCUGUCAUACUUAUGACACUUCUAUGACGAUAAUUGUGACAAAACCCGGUAUCAUCAUAGAUGUGGUGGGGUCCUACUUCUAUGACAGAAAAUGGGCUUUUCGUCCUGGGCGGGCCGGAGACGCAGCUGCAUGACAUUCUUUGGGAUGUCCAUGACGGAAAAAAAUGUGGUAGAAGCGAGGGCGAGGAAAAUAUCGGGGUGUUCCCGGUAACAGUGGGUGUUCGGGGCCGUGCGAUGCGCGUUUCUCUCGUACACACACGCGCGUGGGUGUGAGGCGUUGUGCUCUGACUGUACCCGAGCGAUUGCACUGCAGGCCACACAUUACUGAACCCGAGCGAUCGAUCGAUGGCUGUUAACUGAACCUGAUCGAGCGAUUCCUUCGCUAUUGCUACUAACUGAAGCCGAUCGAUGCUGCCUCUGGCUGAACAGUGAGCGUUGCCGGGGGGUUUGGAUGAACAGUUCCCGGUGGGGGUGGAUGAACAGGACCCCGUGGUGUUGCCUCUCGAUGAACAGUNNNNNNNNNNNNNNNNNNNNNNNNNNNNNNNNNNNNNNNNNNNNNNNNNNNNNNNNNNNNNNNNNNNNNNNNNNNNNNNNNNNNNNNNNNNNNNNNNNNNNNNNNNNNNNNNNNNNNNNNNNNNNNNNNNNNNNNNNNNNNNNNNNNNNNNNNNNNNNNNNNNNNNNNNNNNNNNNNNNNNNNNNNNNNNNNNNNNNNNNNNNNNNNNNNNNNNNNNNNNNNNNNNNNNNNNNNNNNNNNNNNNNNNNNNNNNNNNNNNNNNNNNNNNNNNNNNNNNNNNNNNNNNNNNNNNNNNNNNNNNNNNNNNNNNNNNNNNNNNNNNNNNNNNNNNNNNNNNNNNNNNNNNNNNNNNNNNNNNNNNNNNNNNNNNNNNNNNNNNNNNNNNNNNUGUACCCGAGCGAUUGCACUGCAGGCCACACAUUACUGAACCCGAGCGAUCGAUCGAUGGCUGUUAACUGAACCUGAUCGAGCGAUUCCUUCGCUAUUGCUACUAACUGAAGCCGAUCGAUGCUGCCUCUGGCUGAACAGUGAGCGUUGCCGGGGGGUUUGGAUGAACAGUUCCCGGUGGGGGUGGAUGAAUAGGACCCCGUCGUGUUGCCUCUGGAUGAAGAGGACCCCGAUCGAUCGAGCCGGUUGGGGAUGGAUGAAUAGGACCACCCCGUGGAGGGCUGGAUGAACAGUAGACUGUGGAGGGCUGGAUGAACAGUAGCCCGUGAAGGGGUGGUUGAACAGGAGCCCGAGGAGAGGGCUGUUGAAUAGUAGCUGGUGGAGUAGCGCGCGGUGGAGGCUGGAAGAACAGGAGCCCGUGGAUGAACAGACGCAGGUGGAGGCUGGAGGAGGUCGACGGUGGAUGAACAGUAGCCCGUGGAGUCUGGAGGGGGUCAAUAGUGGAGAUGAACAGUAUCCCGUGGAGUCCUGUUUUGCGGUAAGCCACACCCCUCCCGAUGAUCAGGACCCCCGUUUCGACCAUAACGCUCCAACACAAGUAUGUUUCCUCCGUUUUGCGGUACGCCACACCCCUCCCAAUCAACAGGACUGCCGUUUCGACAGUAGGAGGUCAGUUUCCUCCGUUUUGCGGUAUGCCAGACCCCUCCCGAUGAACAGGAUCCCGUUUCGAACGUGGCUGGUCGAACACAAGGCCGUUUCCUCUGUUCUGCGGUACGCCAGGCCUCGUUUCCAUCAGAUGUUCCGUCCAAGCCCUCCCGAUGAACAUGACGACGCAUUCCGUUUCGACCCAGCCAGUUGGCUCUCCAUGAACACGACGACGACGACAUUGUUUCUUCUUUCCGACUUUGCCAUGUACACGAGCCCUGGUCAUACGUACGCCCGAGUAGGCGUUCGAGACACCGCCCGUAUGUACGUACAUGGCCGUAUUUACUUUCUUGCACCCUGGCCGUUGUACAUACAUGUACUUGCUAUGUGCGCGCCUCUACAUCGACCAGUAUGUACGUACACGUUCGCGACCAGAAUGAUAAUGCAACGUACCCUUCGACCAGGUGGGCCCCGACUGUCAGGCACUUCCUUGCAUGUGAAGAUGUAGCUGGUGGGUCCUGGCAGUCAGGGGGGCGAAUCGUUUUUUUGCCCGGACACACUUUAUUGCAUGCGAAGAUGUAGCUGGUGGGUCCCAGCAGUCAGGGGGAAAUGUUUUUUUCAUGAAAUACAGUGGCCCGUCUAGUGGGUCCCAGCUGUCAGGUGGAGGAAUAAUUAUUUUGCACGUAAUAAGGGGGCACUUCCUUGCUGCGGCCGUGGACCCAGCUAUCAACGUCUCCACAUACAGUACUCUUCCGAUGGAAGUCGUUGCUUGACUACGUUGACCACGCCGCGCCGAGAGCACCAGGGCGGUGGACGACGGGGAGGCCUAGGAAGGGGACGACGUGGAGCCGGGGAAGAGGCGGCAGUGGAAGCCCGCGCGGAGAGGAGUACGAGGGUUCACUGGUUCGGCUGCGGUGUGAGGCUGCUGUCGCCACAGAAUAACAGGGGGUGUGGGUGAGUAGAGGGAUGGCCUGGCCAGCGGUGGGAGUAGUAGGGGGCGGUGAGGCCUCCGCGGCAUCGCAUCCGGCCAUGGGAGGCAGGAGGACGAGGCACGACCGAUGCUUGUUUGGGCGGCUGGAGCAAGAAGACCAGAGGUUGAAGAAGCACUACGGGCGUUGGAUGGACAUCGUACGGUCAAUGGAGUUUGAAUCAUGCGUAUUGACUAAGUUAAGAAAGCCCUCUGUCCCCGUCAACUUAGUAGGCCCACAAGUCAGCCUCCCACUAUACUGGGUCCUAGCUAGCAGGGGGUAUUCAUUUUUUUGUGCGUAAUAAGAAGGCACUUUCUUGCAUGCGAAGAUAUAGCUGGUGGGUCCAAGCUGUCAGCGGCGGUAACAUUUUUUUGUGAAAUACAGCGGCCCUUUCGGUGGGUCCCAGAUGUCAGGUGGAGGAAUCAUUAUUUUGAGCGUAAUAAGGAGGCAUUUCCUACAUGCGGCCGUGGACCCAACUGUCAGCAUCUCCAGGCACAGUCCACUUCAGAUGCAUGUCAGUCAUUGACCACGUUGACCAGGCCGCGCCAAGAGCAUUAGGGCGCGCGGUGGAUGACGGCGAGGCCUAGGAAGGUAACGACACGGAGCCAGGGAAGACUCGGAAGUUCUUUCCCACGCGGAGGGGAGUACGACUGUACGAGGGUUUACUGGUUCGUCUGCCGUCGCCAGAGAAUAACAGCAGGUGUGGCUGAGUACAGGUGGGGCGGUGAGGCCUGCGCGGGAAGGAGGGAGCAGGAAGUCCCGUCAGCGCUUGUUUGAGCGGCUGGAGCAGGAAGAGCAGAGAUUGAAGAAGCACGAUAGCCGUUGGAUGGACAUCCAAAAGUCACUGCUUGUGCGUCAACCUUUUUUUAGGAAAGCCUCAAAUCUGUGGAAAACAGCAUACAGCCCAUCUUCCAUGAUUUCUAAUAAUUUACAGCCCAUUUGCUAAUUCUUAAGUGUUUUUUUGGAGCCCAUAUUCUUUUUGUUAGCAUUACAGCCCAUAUUGUGGCCACGAUUAUAAAAUUAUAUGAAAUUUUGCAUAUUUCGGUGCGGUCCGAACUGUUUUUAAUCCGGAAAUUUCGAGUCACAUUCAAACUGAUUUUAAAAAUAAAUAUAUAUAUCAAUAUAAAAUCCAACAAAUUAUACAUGCAUAAAAAUCAAUGCAAUUUAAAAUCUCGAAAUGAAAAAAAGAAAUAUGAAACUAAUUGCCGGUUUGAUGUGUUUUCAAAAUGUACAACCCAUUUCUCAUUACUGAUAGGCCAUUUUCUCGGCCAGCCGAAUGAAGCUCUCCUUGUCUUGAAAGAUUUGUAGCCGAACAAGCGUGACAAAGCGACUUACUUGGCAAAUCACAAAAAAACUGGGCUGUGGCCAUGGACCCAGCUGCGGUCGUGGACCCAGCUGCCAACCUCUCCACGUACAGUAGUCUUCCGAUGGAAGUUGGUCGUUGACCACAUUGACCACGCCGCGUCGAGAGCACCAAGGCGGUGCACGGCGGCGAGGCCUAGGAAGGGGACGAUGCGGAGCUGGGGAAGACGCAGCAGUGGAUGCCCAUGUGGAGAGGAGUAUGAGGGUUCACUGCUUCAGCUGCGGUGUGAGGCUGCCGUCGCUGCAGGGCCUGGCUAGCGGUGGGAGUGGUAGGGGCGGUGAGGCCUCAACGGUCGCACAGCCGGCCAUUGGAGGCAGGAGCAGGUGGUCUCGCCGAUGCUGGUUUGGGUGGCUAGUGCAAGAAGAGCAGCGAUUGAAGAAGCAGCAGGACCGUUCGAUUCAAAUCCAACGGUUACUGCUACUAGAAUCAUUUGUUGACUAAGUUGACAAGCCCUACGUACGCGUCAACUUAGUAGGCCCACAGGUCAGCCUCCCAACCGGUGCGCCCCAGAUGUCACUGGGAGGAAUCAUUUUUUUCGCGUAAUAAAAAGGCAGUUGACUACGUGCGGCUAGCCCAGCGGAGGGAGUAGGCUGGGCCGGGGAAGCCUGCCCGGCAUCACAGUGGGCCACAAGAGGAGGGAGCAGGCAGUCCCGCUGGCGCUAGUUUAGGCGGCUGGAGCGGGAAGAUCAGAGAUUGAAGAAGCACGUCGGCCGUUGGAUGGACAUCCAACAGUCACUGCUGCUAGAAUUGUGUGUUGACUGACAAAGCCUUGCGUAAACAAGUCAGCCUCGAAAUCUGUGGCAUGUACAACCCAUUUUCUAUUUUUUUAUAAUUUUUACUCAUUUUCUAAUUCAUACGGAAUUUAUUGCAGCCCGUUUUCCAUUUUUAGAAUUGUUGCCCAUUUUUGGUCAGUAGCAGGGUUAAAUAAAAAUUAACUAAAUAUGUGGGAAAUUUUGAAAUUUUGCAAUUUUUUGCUGGGGAAAAAUAUUCUUAAUCCAAAAAUUAGUAGCCAUAGUAAAACAAAUUUAAAAAUAAAUUAGUACUAUGUCAUGUUAAAUCCAAUGAAAUACUCCCUCCGUCGCAAAAUUCCUGUCUUAGAUUUGUCUAAAUACGGAUGUAUCAAGUCACGUUUUGGUAUUAGAGACAUCCAUAUCUAGACUAAUCUAAGACAAGAAUUUUGGGACAGAGGGAGUAUAAGAUAUCAGUGAAGAACAAAACCAAAAAAAGAAACUAAUAUCCCAUUUGCUAUAAUUUUUUUGGAAUUUUCAACCCCUUUUGAUAUUACUUUUAAUAGACACUGACCAUACUCUUUGGCCAGGCCGGAAUGCAUCCCUCCUCGUCUUGAAAUAUUUGUAGCCCAGUAAGUCGGAGAAAACAAAUAGGCCUAGCUUGGGUAUUCUUCAAAAAGAAAUACUGGGCUACCUAUUUUCCAAAAGAAAAAACUGUUGUGCUAGUCAUGUUGUUAGACGGGCCACAGAGACCGCACAACCCAGUUUAUAGCCCGCUCCUCCGAAUUACUACUAAAAAAAGUUGUGCAAUUCUAUCGUUAAUUGACGAUAUGUUGAAAAUGAUGUGAGUUCCAGAUAUCAGCAGGGUGGAUUAGAGUAAAAAAACGAGCCGUUCAUCUGAGUAGUAAAAGAGGCGCUUGCGUGUGUUCAGGAGUGGACCUGGUGGGUCCGUACUAUCAUACUCACAACUACAGUCCUCUCCCGAUUCACUAUGUUGAUAGGGACUGUUUCAAAAAAAAACUAUGUUGACAGGGUCGGACGGCGGCACCGCGGCAAGCACACCAAGGUGGAGGAUAAAGUGUUGUCGCCAAUGUGCUGGGCUGGGUUGCACAUUCUUAUUGAAAAAUAAAAAUGGACCGGGUCUAUUUACGACAUUUACUACGAUUUGCAUGGGUCCGCUGGUUGCAGGAAGAAAAUGCUGGGAGAAAGAAGACUGGUCGCUAUCUUUGCCGAAGAAUAAUAUCGACUGAAUGUAACGACACUAUCAUAGGAAAUAUAUCCUCCUGCUAAAUCAUGAAUUUAAAGAACUGGUGCAUGAGCAUUUAGCUUUAUUUAUUUAUUUACUUAUUUAUGUUUAGGGGACCAUGAGCAUGUACUUGGGCCUUAUUCAUGCGAGAGCCUCCCUUCUAGUUAAUUAUGGGCUUCUGUAUUGGGCCUUCAUCAGUGGGCUGCAUGUUAUCAACAAGUGGAAAAUGUGUUCCAUACGAAAAAUAGUAUGCACUACGUACGAUACGGGGCACUAAAGGAUCGAACCAUGCAACGACUUCCAAAAGAUUGUGUUUGUCGUUCUAACAACACAUUUAUUCAACCAACAGACAAAAUAUACUACUGAUUGUACAUUAAAAACAGCAGUAGCAACAACCAGGGCUGGGGGUGCAACAGAAGCACUAAGCAUGCCAGAAGAGUGAAGACGCAACUCUCUCUUCCAAACCAAACAUCAGCCAUCAUUACAAAAGGGCUACCAAAAAAGAACAAGUGUAUGCAUCAAACUAAGUAAAGAUCUACUACACCAAGUGUACGCAUCUAACUAACUGGCUUAGUUAGACGUUACUAUUUAUUAAGCUGUGGAGAUUGGCUGACGGCUUGAACCAGAUGGGUGCCUGACGGGAGAAACUCCAGCCAGCAGGUCGAAGUCUGAUACUUGCGACCCUCUCUCCUACUUUGGGCUAUAGAGCGUGGCGGCACAUAUCAGGGUAUGGUGCAUGCAGAGACGCAUGGUAUGCUGUGUACACACAGUUUUCCCUGAUGAACGAAAUCGCGCUGCCAUCAUGAUCCUUGCCGUCGGUUAUCUCUUGGUUAAUUGGAUAAUUCAGUCCGACAAACAGGGAGCAUAUACCAAGGCUACUUACGAACCUCCAGUCAAAAAUUCCUGAAGGCCAAGAGAAGCUGGGAUCCUGCUCCAAGACCUUGCAGUGACUGUGAUUGUAUUCCGUGAAACAACACGUCCGGUACACGUGAACGAUCAUCAAUCAUUCGCCAUCGUCUGAUCGAGCCAGGAACCACCUGCAACUGCCAUGCCACUUUUCUUUGAAAGGUUCUAGGAUUAGGAAGGGUAGGGACACCAGGCGGCCUACAACAUCAUAUCAAGUUGGAGUCAAACAACCCUCAAAAGAAGUUGGAGUCAAAUAAAAAAGGGCUCUUGAUGUAGUCAAUCUUAAGAACAACAUGUUAUGAGCAUGAAUAUUUUUUUCAGUAAAUGUUGACAGUAAUAUAAGCAAGCCAUCAUGAUAUCAUAGGAAAGUAACAUACUGCUGUAACAGCCAUUUGUGGCGAUGACUGUAGUAGGCCAGCAAUACGUCCAACCAUAGAAGGAGUCGACAGCGUAAAUGAAGUCCUUGUGUUCAAUGGCAUCAGAGAACCAUGGAGGAUGUAUGAUCCCGCGAUGGACGUGCAGAUUUAUCCACUUACCGCAGUGAUCUAUUAGAUAGGCGAGACCACGGUUGAAGAACGCAAUUAGCCUGAAGUCUUUAUAAUUCGCAGAUCUUGUGGGCACUUGGCAGAUUACAACCUUGAGCAAAUCAAACUUGGUAUCAUGUUGGCUACUAUAAGAUUCCGAGUAUUCUGGGCCGCGGUGCCAAAGCAGUGCAGUGUUAAUCGAAGGAAGGGGGAUCAAUCACCGGGUGUAGACUUCCACGAGCAUCCAGCUACCGCGGCCGCAGCCGUCGAUGAGCACCGUCCAAGACACGUGUUCAUGCCGACCCAGUACAUACCAUUAAUGUAGUGGAGGGUGACGGGGAUCGGAUCACAGUCAAGGGGGUUGAUGCUUGCCACCCUACGAUCGUUAUGCUGCGUGACACACCGUUUCUGAAGAUUAGGCGGCAUCAGCAAGCAAGAAGCUGGCUUAAAAAGCUCCGGCCUGAGGGCUUUGAGUAAACAGUACAGCCCCGACAAGCACGCAGCGAGCGGCAUGGUACUGAGAUUGUCCACACACGAAACAAUAAGCUUGAUUACCUCUGUGGGGAGCGAAUUCCAGCCACUCUUUCGGCGAACGCUGCUCGGUUCUGCCAUUGUUAGUGCUUGGGUUUCGGACAAGGGGGAGGUGCCUUAGCAGGGAUGGAAGAGCGGACAAAGAUGGAGAAGCGAAUAUGUGCUACAGGAAGUGGACAGGUGAUGAUGACUACAGCACGCCGCUUGACUUACGAGACACAUACCAGCAGCGUAGGGUCAUAUCGAAGUCAAACAACUUGCAUGAGUGAUCACAGUACUGGUCCAAUCAUUGUUAUAUCAAAAGUAAACUAUUUGGAGUGAAACAUAAGAUAUUUUUAGUGAUAUGUAUAUCAAAAGUAAACUGUUUUCUUUCAAAUUUGUGAAUAUCUAUUAUUCUACUUUGGAUCCGUUGCAACAGACGGACUCAUUGUUAUAAAGGUUUAUCUCUUGCAUUCUCCGCAACCAACACCUAGUGUACUUGAAAGUGCUAGUGGUCGACUAGAGGGGGGUGAAUAGGCGAUUUUUAUGAAAGUCUUCAAAACAUGGAAGUUUCGAAGAAAAAUGAUAGAAAUAAACCUAUUACCAUGCAGCAAAAGGUAGACUACACUAAGCAAGCCAUAGUCAAGUAUUCAAUGAAGUGAAAGCACAAAGACUAAUAGCAGCUAGGUAGUAUAGAUCAGGCAUGAAGAUAGUGUGAAGCCAAUCAGAACAAACAUUUACUCAGUGAAGACAAAAGAUAAUGCAAUCAUACAAUGACUUCACCAGGGCCAACAGUAAGUAAAGGAAUGGGAAGGACGAAACCAGUGACCCGUUGAAGACAAUGAUUUGUUGUACCAGUUCCAGUUGCUGUGACAACUGUACGUCUGGUUAGGGAGGCUGAGAUUCAACUCAGAAGACCGCGUCUUCACCAUAUUCCCCUUGAGCUAAGGACACCUAGUCCUCACCCAAUCACUCUGGUAAAUCUUCAAGGUAGACUCCCAAACCUUCACAGACUUCGUUCACCGGCAAUCCGCAAUGACUCUUGGAUGCUCAGAACGCGACGCCUAACCGGCUAGAGGAUUCACAGUCCUCAAGUGUAAUAAGUCUUCAGAUCACACAGACAGGAAGACUUCAGUGAUGCCUAACACUCUUUGGCUCUAGGUGGUUAGGGCUUUAUCCUCGCAAGGAAUUCUCUCUCAAAGGCUUCGAGGUGGGUUGCUCUCAAACGACAAAAUCCGUACACUAACUCUGAGCAGCCAACCGUUUAUGGUUGUAGGAGGUGGGCUAUUUAUAGCCACUAGGCAACCCGACCUGAUUUGUCCGAAAUGACCAUUGGUCACUAAGGAACUGACACAUGUUGCAACGGUCAGAUUUCAAACACACACGGCAACUUUACUUGGGCUACAAGCAAAGCUGACUUAUCCAACUCUGGAUAAGAUUGCUCUCAUUGUCUUCGCUCGAAGACAUAGGAUUCUAGUUAAGCAUCACUUCAGUCAUUCUGACUGGUUCUCUUGGACCCCACUUAACAGUACGGUGGUUCCUAUGACUCAACAAAGAAGAAAAAGAACGACGAAACAUCUAAGUCUUCGUGCUCCAUAGUCUUCACACAAUGUCUUCUCUUGUCAUAGUCUUCAAUGUGAAUGUCUUCACAUACCACCUUUGACUUCAAUGUCUUCAUACAUUUUUAGGGGUCAUCUCUAGUAGGAAAACCGAAUCAUUGAGGGACUACUACAUGUGUUAUCCUACAAUUCUCACAAACACAUUAGUCCCUCAACCAGGUUUGUCGUCAAUACUCCAAAACCAACUAGGGGUGGCACUAGAUGCACUUACAAUCUCCCCCUUUUUGUUGAUUGAUGAAAAACUGGUUGAAUUUUCAACGGGGAUAAAAGUAUGUGAAAUGUAAAGGAUUUAGGUAUUGUCUUCAUAACUAGCAAAGGCUCCCCCUGAAGAUGUGCAUAUAAGUAAUUUUGCUUUUGGAAUGCAAAUGCACAUGGCAGGUUCUUCUUGUGGAGAUCCUCUUCAACUUAUGACGACAAUUCAUCAUGCAUGAAAGGUAUGUGAAGAUAAUGACAUGCAUAAUGAAAAAUGGACGUUUGCAGAAUGACCUAAGUGCGGAAGUUAUCAUCGCACAUGCGGUAUUUAUCAUCGCAUCAUAGAAUAGCAAAUAAGUAGCAGACGACCAUCGAGUUUGAGUGUUACAACUCAAAGAAACAAUGUAUCAAAACGCGAGAGUUGUAAACACUAGGCAAAAUAUAAAACCACCGCCCAUAUGGACCCGUUUGAAGACUAUCAAACUCAUAUGCUUCUCCCCCUUUUGUCAGUAAGGACCAAAAAUAUUUGAAGACAUAGAGAACAUACUCGUUCCCAUGAGGAGUUGGUGAAGCAGCAGGGUCGUUGGAGUUGGUUGGCGGUGCAGACGAACUCGGUGCAGUGGUGAUUCACGCUGAAGGUGGUGAAGUAGCAUCGUCUUCAUCAUUGAUGACACGUGCAUUCAUUGUUGCAGCAGAGGAGGAGAACUCAGAGUCUUCAAGAGACGGAGUACGCCACAGCAAGGUCCUUCUCGGAGGUGUGGAGUCAAACUUGAAGCGUUCAGAGAAACGAUCAUCUUGAAGAUCAUCUUCAGAACACAUAAGCGUCAGCCCUUUCCAUGUACGCCGACAAGUUUCAUGGGCGACAAAAACAUUCUUGGUGGCAAGGUUGCGAAUCCUGUUUACGUCCACGAAGAGGCUUUGCAUUUGGCGCUUCAGCCAGUCAUGAUGCUUAUCCUGUUUCUGAUGAAGGGCAACCAGAAGCUCUCGGUCAUUGAGGACACAAGAUCGCUUCUUGGGCCGUUGUGCAAUGGUGCUUUCAGUGGCUUCAGUGAGGGCAUGAUGAGGUGGACGGGUAGUACCAGCCAGAGGAUAAACACGAGAGACUGCUGGGUCGCCUUCAAUGUGUUGUGAGAAACUUUGCUUAUCAGCAUUCUGAAGACUAAGGGGCUCCUUGGCAGGCUCUGGAUAGAUGGCUUCAACUAACAUAUCGACGUCAGGUAGAAAAAUCUGAUGAUUGCGAGAAGAGGGCUGAUAGGUGACACCUGAGUGUAGUUUGAUCAGACGCAUAAUCCAUGGGGCGUAAAACUUCAAGCCAAAGAGAUCAGAUCCUGAUGCAGCAAGUUGGCGGAUGAAGAAAUCUUGUGCAUUGAAGCUUUUGCCGUGAAGAAUAUGGAAGACCAAAGUAUUCAUUGCACCUUCCAGCUUGCAUGUGGAGAAUGUCCUUUGAUGGGCCAGAACUUCGCCUUAUAAUGUGAUAGAUAGUGCGUGGCAGAUACUCAAGGUCUUCAACAAAGAACUCCUUAGGAUAUUCAACAUCUGGAGGCAAAGGCUUCAUCAUGCUAAGCAUCUGACUCAUGUUGGGUUCAGGCUUGUGAAAAAUGCUUUCCAUAGCAGCACUGUGAAGCUGACAACCAGGUUCAUAAAGAUCUCCUGGAGUGGGCAGGCCAGUGAGCUCAAUGAUAUCAAAGGCUUUGGCUUCAUGAUGAACAUUGCCUGUCAUGCACUCAAGGGCCCAAGUCUUCGGAUCCCUGUUGUAGCCACGAAUAUGAAGAGUGGCAUAGAAUUGGAGCAGCAAUUCUUCGUUCCAGUGCUCCUUGUCAGUGACGAACUGCAACAAGCCAGACUCUCUGAAGCAAUCCAGCGCUUCUUCCAAACAGGGCAGACCAAUUAUGGCUUCAGUGUCAAGACGCAUAUGGGGAAAAAUGCGACCUUGAUUGUAUAAGAUGCAUGAGUAAUAACUGCACUGCUGAUAGCUCCAGAAUCGAUCAGAAGAUAUUCUUGCCUUAGAGUAGGGGUUCUUGGCGCUAUUGAAGAAGGUGUUGUGUGCUUUGAAGCCAUUGAUAUUGAAUGAUCCGGGUGCAGAUGCAGUGCUUGGAAACCUAGGCAGCCUUGGCAUUGGCUUCUAAACUUGAGGCCUGCGCUCGAUGUGAUAGUCAAAUUGGGGACCAGCAGCAGGUGGAGGAACAAGAAGAGGACAUUUGACAGUGAUAAGCUGACCAUAGUUGUAUGCUUGCUCAAUAGUAUGUGGCCUUGGUGGCGGAACAGGAGCAGUGGCAUCAACAGAGGCGUCAGGCUGCAUAUCUGUUGCGGGUGCAUCAUUGGCUUCACUGGCUUCUGGCACAGUGUUAGGUGUAGGCUCCACAUUGUCUUCAGCCAUGACCACGUCAUUGGCUUCAUUGGUGUUAGUGGUGGCAGCCUCAGGAUUCUCAACCUCCACUUGAGGAGCUGGAGGGUCGGGCACUGACACGUUCACUUCAGGAACAACUUCUUCAGUGAUGGGGGAAGUAGGGACACGUUCUUCUGCUUGUUUUUCUUCGGCUGAUGCAGCCAGCUUGUCUUCAGCAACUUUAGCUUCAGACUUGGAGACGUUCACAAUAGGAGUGGCUUCUGGAAACACCUGACGUGCAACAGAUUGGUGGUGCACUUCUCCUUCUGAAACGCUUGAAAGAGGGACUUGGGGCCUUGGUCCUUUGCGAAGCCUGCGUAACGCUGGCGACGCCUGUGAAGAUGGAGUUUGCUGGGCCUCAAAGCCAUCCUCUUCUUCUUGCACUGGUGGGGUGACUUGUUGUUGGGGAGUACUAGGGCUUUCUUGUUGUUGUGGGUGAUCAGCCCAUGAUGCAUCCUGAGCAAUUGGUGUUAGAGGACGACCAAUGCUGAUGAGUUCACUGCUUGUGAGAACAGGCGAUGAUACCAAGUUGUGCUCGAUCUGAGGAAGAACUACAUCACCUUCAACAUUGUCAUGGUGACCAAUGUCUUCAGCAGCGGUGGGGUCAACUACUGGAAAGUCUUCAGCUUCAGGAGCCUCUGUGGAAGCAGGCUCAUGAACUAUCAUCCUUCAUUCUUGAUGUGAAGAGUUAGGACGAGCAACCGAGAUGGGCUCGACAACAAGGGGCUCUGUGGGAGCAGCCCGAUCUUUCUUGGUUUUGCGCUUCUUCUUGGAGGGAGCGACAUCAGAAGCGUCAGGAUUUUUCCUCUUUCUGGCUUCAGCCUCGGCAGCCCUUGUCUUCUUCAGUUCUGAAGCGGUGGACGUGACCUUUGGCUUCAAGCCGGACAUGCUGCUUGGGAAGACAAUGCGAGGUUCGUCCUGCCUUGAAGGUGCUGAUUUGUCAGUCGAUGGCUUCUUCUUCUUCUUUGCAGCCAUUCUGGGGUCGAUGCCAGGACGCCGAAGAGCCUUGCGCUUCUCAGCUUCAUUGUAGGCUUGCACGCACUUGUCAGCCAGACUCUUCAUGCGCUCACGAGAGCCUUUAGCUUCUUGUCGUUUCCUGAGAAAGGCUUCCUUGAGCUCGUGCCGCAUAACCUUGAAGUUUUUGACAUGUUGCACGCUGAGCUUUUCCAUGUUCUUCUUGAACUAAGCUUUCUCAUAGUCGAUCUUUUGCUUCAGUUCAACGAUGCGCUGAGCUAGAGCUAGCUCAGAAGCAAUGGCGCCAGUGAAAGAGACGCUGAGGCCAAUUGGAAGUUGCAGAUCGUCAAAGCUGAGAUUGGGGGUUUCAAACCAGUCAUCAAUGAAGUUGUGGAUGAUUGCCACAUCAAAGAGAGGCAAAUCAUUGAAGAUUUCUGCUCCUUCCUUGCUCUUAAUCAGUUGCUCAAGAGCGUCAUCUGCAAGAUCUUCAUCACUGGACAGGUCAAUGUGUUCGUCUCGCAGAAUGGCAGCAGGGGUCAAUGCCUGAUCAGUAUUCUUUUUCAUCUCCGUCUUCUUGGAGAUACGUGAUAGAUCUUCAGACUGCACACUGUCUUCAGGAGGUGAAGUAGCCAGUGGUUUCACACGUGAAGCUUUUGGAGGAGCAGCUGACUUUGAAGCUCUAGCCUUCUUUUGCUUCUGCGGCUUUGGAGCAGGAGCUGGGGCUUCAUCAGUGUCGGCAUCAUCAUCAGAAUGAUCUACUUUGGCACCUUGAACAAAAAUGUGAGUGAUAAGACCAUCAAGGUUGUAGAAAGGUUCGAUGAUAUUGUGUUCAGCAUUGCGUGUGCCGUCAGCCCAUGGAGCAGAAGGACCAGGGUUGAAGUCUAGUCCCAAUGACUUCUUGUUUUCCUUGGCCGAUGCCUUUGCAUGCUGGAAGUUGCACUUGAAGAGAUUAUCGUCACGACACUAGAGCAGUGAUGAUGGGUCGGCAUUGUCAGGCUGUGGUCCACGUACCAUACAGGGAUAGAAACCCUGAGCAAUAACUUCAGCUCUGGUCUUGGGUUGAAGGUUUCGAAAGAGAAUUUCACCCCAAGGAUUCUUGAGGGCAUUCUUCUCAGCAUACUCCUGGGUCACAAACUUGUAUUUGAACCAUUGUUCGGCCCAAUAUCUUCGAAUCCAUUGGAUUCGUGUCUUGCGCUGAUUGUAAUCCUCUUCUGGAUCUUUCUUGUACAGCUCUGAGAGGUCAUCAGGCAGAUCUCUUGAUGUUCUCCCUCGACGAUGUCUACCACCCUUCCUUGCUGAUUUCUCUGUAGCCAUGAACUUCGAACUGAAUGACUUCAACACGUUCAAAGGCUUCAAAGGCUUCCGCUUGCUGGUCAAAUAGGAACUGGCUUCGGGAGAGUUAAUGUGAUGCUGUAAGAAUUCUGCAAACGAAUGCAGACUAUGAGAACCAAGGGAUUCUCCCACGGACAUGUACCAGUGACAGCAUUAGAGAUGCGAGGGAAGGGGAGAGGUCAUAUGCAUUCUCAGAAGAUUUUGAAGGUAAAUCAGUUUGAAGACAUUGACCUCAUGGUGCGAAGACAUUCACUUAUGUGUUUGGAGUUGGUUCCAGAUUUGUACGAAUCCAGGAAUAGGUACAAGUGAGGAAUCUAACUCAUUAUGAAGCUUAAGUGAAUAUACUAGGCAUUAUAUGAGAUACAGAUAGGAUAGAUCUAACAUUGAGUAGGCAGAAACCACUUUCGGUGAACAGGAUGAAUCUCCUAGGAUCAACAAGAUGGUAAAAAGAGAGUUUUAUUUACCACACGAUGAAAUGCUAGAUGGGAAGAGUAGGAGACCGAGCAGUUCAAUCCACCGUGCCCUAACUUGGCGACAGAGGACACCUACGGCGGCGGCAGAGAGGACGAAGACCGCGACCAGCGUGAGGACGACGUCGGUGAAGUCGCGGCAGUUAAGCGCUUCAUUGCCGGCAUCGUCGAGAGCUAGUGGUGGCGCUAGGGUUUUGUGCGAGAGUGGAAGAAGGGAUAACGACUAUGGUGAGGCAUGUAUUUAUAGGGAUAGGGACAGCACAGUGUUAUUACACAGGUGCCCCUGGCGAUUCACAUCUAAAGGACACGUGGCUAUCAUGCAACACAUCGGAGGUUGUUCCAUGUUCCCACGCACGCCUGGAUUGUCGGGUGGUCGUUCCCACUUCUCCGGGUUUCAGGUGAAAGGAUUUAGCAUUGAAAACGGAUUAACGUUUGUCUCUGUGUCUUCUGCUGACAAGGACGCAGAGAAGACAUUCGACGGUUUCAAUAGAAUGCAUAUGAUUUGGACAGAUAGAGGUUGAGAUAGAGAGCAUAGAGAGAUUAGGGUCCGAUCACAUUCACUUAGUUCAAAAGAUUCAACAAGGAAGACAUAGCUAUAAGUGAAUGCUGUAGAGGACAAACCACAAAUAUGUAUAUAUCAGAAGACAAUCAAAUCAGCAUAGUGAAGAUAAUCAUGAAGACAAGUUGAAAUUGAAGACAAUACACAUGUGAAGACAUAGCAAAUGUAACGCCAUGAGUAAAACACUUCAAACAGAAGAAUUUGGUGGUGGCGUUACCCACCGUAUAGGAAGUAUUAGACCCAGACACGGCGCAUAAUUAUCGUGGCGCUCUGAAGUCAAGUUCCACGUUAAUAUAUUCACACUCAGAAUGUAAGUCUUCAUUGAUUGAAGAUAUACUUUACUUCAUGUGUUGAACAUCUAUGUCAUCAACAUGCUUUAGUGUUAGGAUGUGUGCCUGAUCAUAGGACAUUUGAGGAUUCCAAGAUAUUUAGCUCACACCGUAACUUGCAAAACCUCUUCUCAUCCAAGGGCUUGGUGAAGAUAUCUGCCAAUUGCUCUUCAGUGUUGACGUCUAUGAUAUAAAUAUCUUCCUUCAUGACAUGAUCUCUGAGAAAGUGAUGACAAAUUUCAAUGUGCUUUGUCUUCGAGUGCUGAACUGGGUUGUUGGCAAUCUUGAUGGCGUUUUCGUUGUCGCAGUAGAGUGGCACUUGCUUCAGAUGAAUGCCAUAGUCUUUGAGUGUUUGCUUCAUCCAUAGAAGCUGGGCGCAGCAAGAUCCAGCAGCAAUGUAUUCAGAUUCAGAAGUGGAGAGAGAUACACAGUUCUGCUUCUUUGAAGACCAACAUACAAGUGAUCAUCCCAGAAAAUGACAUGUGCCUGAUGUAGACUUGUGAUCCACCUUGUCACCAGCAUAAUCAGCAUCCGAGAAUCCAACUAGAUCAAACUCUGAGCCCUUUGGAUACCAUAAUCCUAGUGUUGGGGUGUGAGCCAAAUAUCUGAGAAUUCGCUUCACAGCUAAGUGAUGCGAUUCCUUUGGUGCCGCUUGGAACCGGGCACACAUGCAAACACUAAGCAUGAUAUCUGGCCUAGAUGCACAUAAAUAAAGCAAGGAACCAAUCAUGGAGCAGUAUACCUUUUGAUCGAACUCUUUACCAUUGUCGUCGGGAUCUAGAUGAUGUUUUGUCGUGAAGCCUUUGCAAUCUUGCAUCCCAAAUUUCUUCAGGCAAUCUUUGAGGUAUUUCUCUUGAGAUAUAAAGAUGUCGCUGCGUUGCUGACGUAUUUGAAGACCAAGGAAGAACUUCAGCUCACCCAUCAUGGACAUCUGAUAUUGCUCUUGCAUCAUAUAUCCAAACUCAUCAGUGUAUUUCUGAUUGGUGCAGCCGAAGAUAAUGACAUCCACAUAUAUUUGGCACACAAACAGUUCACCAUCAUAUGUCUUCGUGAAGAGAGUGGGGUCGAGGGAACCAGGUUUGAAGCCUUUGCUCUUCAGGAAGUCUUUGAGUGUGUCAUACCAAGCCCGAGGGGCUUGUUUGAGGCCAUACAAUGCCUUGUUGAGCUUGUACACCAUGUCAGGAUGUUUUGGAUCUUCAAAGCCAGGCGGUUGUGCAACAUACACUUCUUCGUCAAUCUUGCCAUUGAGAAAAGCGCUCUUCACAUCCAUUUGAUGCAGAAGAAUGUUAUGAUGAUUUGCAUAGGCCAGCAGUAUGCAUAUGGCUUCAAGCCUAGCCACAGGAGCAUAAGUUUCAUCGAAGUCAAUCCCUUCAACUUGAGUGUAUCCUUGAGCAACUAGACGAGCUUUGUUUCUAACAACUUGACCAUGCUCAUCUUGCUUGUUGCGAUAUAUCCAUUUAGUGCCUAUUAUAUUGUGCUUACGAGGAUCAGGACGCUUAACCAGUUCCCAUACAUUAUUCAGUUCAAACUAUUGAAGCUCUUCUGCAUAGCUUGAAUCCAUUCAGGUUCCAUGAAGGCUUCAUCAACUUUCUUGGGUUCAGAUAUUGAGAUGAAUGCGAAGUGCCCACAGAAAUUUGCUACCUGUGUUGCCCUUGAGCGAGUGAGUGGACCUGGUGUAUUGAUGCCAUCAAUUAUUCUCUCAAUAUGUACUUCAUUUGCAACACGAGGAUGUACAGGACGAAGAUUUUGCUCUUGCUGAUCAUUUUCAUCAUUAGAAGGAUUGUCUUCAGGCUGAGCAUUGUCUUCAGGUUGAUCAGGUGCGGAGAUGAUAAGUUCCUCUUCAGUCUAAGCUUUAGAUGGUAUGAUUUCUCCAGUUCCCAUAAGUUUGAUUGAUUCACUGGAUGGAACUUCAUCUAGCACAUUUGGCAGGUGCUCUCUUUGCGAGCCGUUAGUCUCAUCGAACCGCACAUCCACAGUUUCAACCACUUUAUAGUGAGAGAGGUUGAAGACUCUGUAGGAGUGCGAAUCCUUUCCAUAUCCAAGCAUAAAACUUUCAUGUGCUUUCGGUGCAAAUUUUGAAGUGUGAUGUGGAUCCUUGAUCCAGCACGUGGCACCAAAUACUCUGAAGUAACUGACAUUUGGCUUCUUGCCAGUAAGGAGCUCAUAGGAUGUCUUGUUGAGAAGCUUAUGAAGAUAAACACGGUUGAUGAUAUGGCAUGCAGUAUCAAUGGCUUCAGGCCAUAAUUUUCUUGGAGUCUUGUAUUCAUCGAGCAUCGUCCGGGCCAUCUCAAUAAGUGUUCCGUUCUUGCGUUGGACGACGCCAAUCUGCUAUGGCGUGUACGGAGCUGAAAAUUCAUGUGUGAUGCCCAAAGUAUCAAGAGAUGUAUCUAGCCCAGUGUUCUUGAAUUCAGUGCCAUUGUCACUUCUCAUGUGCUUUAUCUUGACGCCAUAGUUGUUCAUGGCUCGAUUGGCGAAGCGUCUGAAGACAUCCUGCACUUCAGUCUUGUAGAGGAUUAUAUGCACCCAAGUAUAUCUUGAAUAAUCAUCAACAAUGACAAAGCCAUAGAGACAAGCAGUAGUAGUAAGAUUUGAGUAAUGAGUGGGACCAAAAAGGUCCAUGUGGAGCAGUUCGAAGGGUUGAGUCGUUGUCAUGAUUGUCUUCGAGGGAUGCUUGGCCCUCGUCAUCUUUCCUGCUUCACAGGCACCGCAUAAGUGAUCCUUCUUGAACCUGACGCCCUCGAUGCCUAUGACAUGCUUCUUUCUUGAAAGAGUGUGCAAGUUCCUCAUGCCAGCAUGCCCUAGCCUUCGAUGCCAGAGCCAGCAUUCUGAAGCUUUUGCUAGAAGACAUACGGCAAGUUGUGGUCCUGCUGAGAAAUCUACCAUGUACAAAUCAUCUUUCCGAUACCCUUCAAAAACUAGAGACUUGUCAGAUUCCAUUAGAACAAGGCAAUGAUAUUUUCCAAACAUCACAAUCAUGUUUAAAUCGCAAAGCAUUGAGACAGACAUUAAGUUGAAACCAAGGGAUUCAACAAGCAUGACUUUAUCCAUGUGUUGAUCCCUUGAGAUUGCAACUCUACCUAGACCCAAUACCUUGCUUUUACCAGUGUCAGCAAAUGUGAUGUGACUUUUGUCAGAUGGACGUAAGGUUGAGUCCAUAAGUAGACUUCGCUUGCCAGUCAUGUGAUUAGUACACCCACUAUCAAUAAUCCAUUCUGAAGCAGGUGGUGUUGUACCCUACAGUGCAGUUAGGGGGAUAGGCUUCACGAAGAGAAUUGUGAAGCAAAAACAUUUGACGAGCAAGUGGAUUAUGAAAGCUUAGAUCAAGGUUAGGACUUAUAGGGCAAGUAGCAAGCGACUCAAGAACAAAAUACAUAAUAAGACCAUUUGGGCAUUUGAUCUUGCGCCCUGCAAGAUGUUUAAGGUCACCAACAAUAGCUUCAGACAAUUUUGGUUUUCGGCUGGAGACCUUUCCCUGCAAAAAGAGAGUUAAGCUUUCUUAGCCACCCACAUCUUCAAGGGUGGCUUCGAAGCAAUGAGUCUAAGUGCAGCAUCUGAGAACUUUGGCUUUGGGGCCCUUGCAAAAAGUAUUGCAGGUGGACAAUAGUACUCAUAAGAAUAAGAAGAGUAGUUCUUGGUCUUAUGAACAUGGCAGUUUGAUGAAACGCGCUCAUAUUCAUAGGCCUGAGUAAGGUUUCCCUGCAAAACAUUUGCGUUAGUGCGACUCAGGUGAGUCCUCUGUCUGUAUGAAGCCUUUGGACCGUAUGAAGCCUGUGGCUUGGGGUUUGUCUUCUUCAUGUGUGGUGUCAUGACGGCAUUCACAGGAAGAUUCUCCAAACAUCUUUUCGGCACCCAGACUUUCUUCAUAGGCGGCCCAUUCCUGCAGUUAGUACCAAUAUACCUGGCAAACACUUCACCAUUCUGAUUCUUAAACAGUUUAUAGUUUGCAUCAAAGGAUUCAUCAAUAACAAUGGGAUUAGCACAAGUGAAGCCAGAUAGGGUGGAUGGAUCCGCUGAAGGUUCCUUUGCAGCAACCCAUGUGGUUUUGGGGUACUGCUCAGGUUUCCAGUAAGAGCCAUCAGCAUUGAUUUUCCUUUCGAACCCAACACCCUCUUUCCUAGGGUUUCGGUUCAGGAUCUGCCUUUUGAGAACAUCACAUAAUGUCUGAUGCCCUUUGAGACUUUUGAACAUCCCUGUUUCAAGCAAUGUAUUCAACCUAGCAUUCUCAUCAGCAAUAGUAGUGGCAUCCUCAGCAGAGGGGUUAGUUACCAUGUCAACAGUUGAAAAUAUUGCAACAGUAGCAGCAGUAGAACAUUCAGCAAUAGAAGUAGCGUUAUCACACUCAAUGCAUUCAAGACAUGGUGGUUCAAAUCCUUCCUGAGUAGAACUGAUCUGUUUGGCGCGAAGUGACUUGUUUUCCUUUUGAAGAUCUUCAUGAGCCGCUCUCAAUUUCUCAAGAUCUUGCUUCCUUUGAAGAUAAUCAUAGGAAAGCUUUUCAUGAGUUGUUGAGAGCGUUUCAUGACGACUUUCAAGUUCCUCAUACUUAACAUGAAGAUUUUUUAUGUCUUCAAUUAAGGACUGAGAUCGAGUCAUUUCAGCGUCUAACAGGUCAUCGCUUUUGUCUAAUAGUUUUUGAAUAUGUUCCAUAGCUUUCUGUUGUUCAGUUGCAAUUUUAGCAAGUGUUUUGUAGCUGGGUUUGGAACCACAAUGAGAGUCAUCUUCACUUGAUGUUUGAUAGUGAGUGGCGCGUCAGUUUACCUUGGCACCGCGUGCCAUGAAGCAGUAGGUGGGAGUGGAGUUGUCCUUGUCAUUAGCAUCGGCGUUGGUGACGGAGUCAUUGUCUUCAGUAUUGAAGAUGGACUUGGCAACAUAGGCUGUAGCCAGACUUGCAACGCUAGAAUCGGACUCCUCCUCAGACUCCACCUCCGCCUCCUCCGAAGCGGACUCCUCCUCUGAAUCCAUUUCCUUGCCAACAAAUGCAUAAGCCUUGCCAGAUGAGCUCUUCUUGUGUGAUAAAGACUUUGAGGAAGACUUGGAAGAAGACUUUGAGUAUUUCUUCUUCUUCUUGUCGUCAGAAUCAUACUCCUUGCUCUUCUCUUUCUUCUUGUUCUCAUUGUCCCACUGCGGACACUCAGAGAUAUAGUGGCCAAGUUUCUUGCACUUGUGGCAUGUUCUCUUCUUGUAGUCAUGAGCAGAAGCUUCAUCAUUCCUUGAGCUUGAUCGUGAAGACUUUCUGAAGCCUUUCUUCUAGGUGAAUUUUUGGAACUUCUUCACAAGCAUAGCAAGCUCCUUUCCAAUGUCUUCAGGAUCAUCAGAACUGCUGUCAGAUUCUUCUUCAGAUGAGGAGACAACUUUUGCCUUCAAGGCAUGAGUUCGCCCAUAGUUGGGACCGUAGAUGUCUCUUUUCUUAGAAAGCUGAAACUCAUGUGUGUUGAGCCUCUCAAGUAUGUCAGACGGAUCGAGUGUCUUGAAGUCUGGACAUUCUUGAAUCAUCAGGGCUAGGGUGUCAAACAAGCUGUCAAGUGAUCUCAGGAGUGUCUUGAUGACUUCAUGCUUGGUUAUCUCAGUAGCGCCGAGGGCUUGAAGCUCAUUUGUGAUGUCGGUGAGUUGGUCAAACGUGAGCUGGACAUUAUCAUUAUCAUUUCUCUUGAAGCGGUUGAAGAGGUUUUGAAGGACACUGAUUCUCUGAUCUCUCUGGGUUGAGACGCCUUCAUUGACCUUGGAGAGCCAGUCCCAGACUAGCGUAGAUGUUUCCAAAGCACUCACACGGCCAUAGUGUCCUUUGGUCAGAUGACCGUAGAUGAUGUUCUUGGCAGUGGAGUCUAGUUGAACGAAAUUCUUGACAUCAGUAGCGGUGACACCUUCACCAGCCUUGGGAACGCCAUUCUUGACGACAUACCAUAGGUCGACAUCAAUGGCUUCAAGAUGCAUGCGCAUCUUAUUCUUCCAGUAGGGAUAUUCAGUUCCAUCGAAGACUAGGCCCGCAGCGGAGACUUUGAUUAUCCCUGCAGUUGACAUAGCUAAAACUCCAGGUGGUUAAACUCAAUCACACAAAACAAGGGAGUACCUUACUCUGAUACCAACUGAAAGUGCUAGUGAUCGACUAGAGGGGGGGUGAAUAGGCGAUUUUUAUGAAAGUCUUCAAAACAUGGAAGUUCCGAAGACAAACGAUAGAAAUAAACCUAUUACCAUGCAGCAAAAGGUAGACUACACUAAGCAAGCCAUAGUCAAGUAUUCAAUGAAGUGAAAGCACAAAGACUAAUAGCAGCUAGGCAGUAUAGAUCAGGUAGGAAGAUAGUGUGAAGCCAAUCAGAACAAACAGUUACUCAGUGAAGACAAAAGAUAAUGCAAUCAUACAAUGACUUCACCAGGGCCAACAGUAAGUAAAGGAAUGUGAAGGACGAAACCAGUGACUCGUUGAACACAAUUGUUUGUUGGACCAGUUCCGGUUGUUGUGACAACUGUAUGUCUGGUUAGGGAGGCUGAGAUUCAACUCAGAAGACCGCGUCUUCACCUUAUUCCCCUUGAGCUAAGGACACCUAGUCCUCGCCCAAUCACUCUGGUAAGUCUUCAAGGUAGAAUCCCAAACCUUCACAGACUUCGUUCACCGGCGAUCCACAAUGACUCUUGGAUGCUCAGAAUGCGACGCCUAACCGGCUGGAGGAUUCACAGUCCUCAAGUGUAAUAAGUCUUCAGAUCACACAGAUAGGAAGACUUCAGUGAUGCCUAACAAUCUUUGGCUCUGGGUGGUUAGGGCUUUAUCAUCGCAAGGAAUUCUCUCUCAAAGGCUUCGAGGUGGGUUGCUCUCAAAUGACAAUAGUUGUACACUAACUCUGAGCAGCCAACAGUUUAUGGUUGUAGGGGGUGGGCUAUUUAUAGCCACUAGGCAACCCGACCUGAUUUGUCCGAAAUGACCCUUGGUCACUAAGGAACUGACACGUGUUCCAACGGUAAGAUUUCAAACACACACGACAACUUUACUUGGGCUACAAGCAAAGCUGACUUAUCCAACUCUGUAUAAGAUUGCUCUCAUUGUCUUCGCUCGAAGACAUAGGAUUCUGGUUAAGCAUCACUUCAGUCAUUCUGACUGGUUCUCUUGGACCCCACUUAACAGUACGGUGGUUCCUAUAUGACUCAACAAAGAAGAAAAAGAACGACGAAACAUCUAAGUCUUCGCGCUCCACAGUCUUCACACAAUGUCUUCUCUUGUCAUAGUCUUCAAUGUGAAUGUCUUCACAUACCACCUUUGACUUCAAUGUCUUCAUACAUUUUUAGGGGUCAUCUCUGGUAGGAAAACUGAAUCAUUGAGGGACUACUACCUGUGUUAUCCUGCAAUUCUCACAAACACAUUAGUCCCUCAACUAGGUUUGUCGUCAAUACUCCAAAACCAACUAGGGGUGGCAUUAGAUGCACUUACAGUACUGGUCCGGGCCGGAUGCUCGUAGCGCGAUGACCUGAGUUCGAAUUCUAUCCUAAACUUUAGCUUUUAUAUUUUUUUAAUAUAUACUAUACUUAUUUUGCUACUGUACUAGCAUUGGAACCCACAGAGUACUUAGAAUACUACAUUAAGGAUGGAUUUGUUUCUUUUUAACUUUCUAUACGAAUCUGUAGCCAGCCUGCAAGUCAUGUACACUAUACUGACAGUGGAACCCACAGAGUACUUAGAAUACAAGAUUAAGGAUGAAAUUAACUUUUUAUAGAGGGAGAAUCAUACAUGCAAUUAACUCAAAUGGAUUAGACGCGACUAUAUUAUUCUCCAACGGCAACCAGCAAAUUUCCUCCCGUGGGUCGGAGUAGGUUUCUCGAUUUGCAUGCGGGUUUAACGGAGGGGUUUGAUGGAGGCGAGGAGGCGUGUUCAGCCGGGCGUGCAGUGGGCGGCGCAGUACUAUUCGAUUUGACAACUACAACUAGUAUAUUAUAAAAAACAAAGAAGAGUAGUAGAGAUAGAGAUAAGAAUAGAGACUAGGGAGGAGCACCAUCUACUGCUUCGUGGGCUACUCAUGCGCUCCAUUCGGCGGCCGCAACGUCCCCUACAACCACUCCCUCCUGCGCUCCAUUCGGCUGUCGCUGUUGAAAUUUGGGGUGCGCACUCUCGCGACUGCUAGCAGGGACGACUUCACCGACGACGACUUCUUCCCCAACCUCGUCAACCUCUUCCUCAACGACGUGGGCGACAACCUCAACACCAAUGGUGCUGCUCCUGUUGCACCGUAUGUGUUUCUGUCCUUCCUGUUCGAAAUCGUGGUAGAAUUCAUGUUUCUAGUCUGUGUCCUAGAUUCGAUCUGUUCAUCUACUAUGCUAGUCCGCAUGAUUAGUUUAAUAUCUUUUAUAGCCAUCAUGCUUUAUUUUGUGCUUAUUCGGACUAAAUCUCGUAGUAACUUGCUCAUAUAUUCAACUGGCGGAACAUCCCCUACAGCCACUCCCGUUUCAUGGACGGCCUGAUCGAUGCCUCCAAGGAGCCCUUCGCCUACUGCUAUGAGUGCCCGAUGCCAUUUUGGGGCUCGGCGGCGGACAUCGUGCAUCACCUAACGCAGGCGUGCGGCGAUCACUACUGGCCCUUGGCGAAGAACAUCAAGUACGAGACAUGCUACCCGUUCACCGUGCCGGAUGUCACUGGAGGUUCACCACCGUCUGCUAGUCUCAGAGGAGGACGGCAGCGUCUUCCUCUUGAUCGUGGGCACCGGCGAGGCCCAUGCAGGCCGCCGACCCGUCUCUGUAGUGUGCGUCAGGGGCGACGCCGCUGCCGCUGACACUAACACGAGGCCGAUGUACGGGUGCGUGCUCACUAUUACUACCCCUCGAAGGAACGUGGGCAGCGACAUUGGCUACGUCAAGCUGACUUGGACUCUGCCGAGCUGGGACCUUCCCGCCGAUGUGGACAUGGAAGACGCACGGUAUUAUUUGACCCCCAACAAUGUGCAUGGGGACUCCAAGGAGGUUCACCUGGACAUCUGCAUUAUCAAGUUAAAUGUUCAUCAUUAGUCUUCGCUCAAUGUAAUCUGCUGUCUAAGCAUGUGGAGACUUUCAUGCAUGAUCUUGCUCUAUUGGAGUAUCGCGCAUGAAUAAAAGUGUAUCCAUUUAUGGUUUAGUCUAGAAUCUUCCAUGUAUGAAUUUUUACUACAGUACUGGUGAAAGACUUAGGAUGAACCAUUUCUUACAUAUCCUCUGCCCCCUUCCAAGUCAUCCUGAUUUAAUCCCUCCGUCUAGGUGUAUAAGGGCAUGGUUAAUACUUAAAUAGUAUACCCAAUUGUUGACUAUAAGAAAGUGCCAUGUCAUCUAUAGCCAACAUGUAUAACGAUGGAUACUCAAAAACUAAUUCUUGAUGAUCAUUUCUUGCAAAGCACAAUAAGAGUUAUUUCUUCACAAGUUUUGGAUGUAGGUUGAAUAGUUGAAUGCUUUUGUUUGCAAAAUAUACUUUUUUUUAUCUAUUUCACCUGGAUGUUUGUGAGCUCUAGAGAUGAAAUAAUAUCUGGAGAAACCUAUCGAUACCCAUUACACAUGAGAUGACCCCCACAUCCUUUACACAAGAAAUCAAUGCAUUUCACUCUUCCGUGCAACGCACGGGCACUUACUAUAGAUUAGUACGACGAAAAAUUGAACUAACAUUAUAUAUAGUACGAUAAAUGAUGAUGCAUGUCACCUAAAAUUGUAUCAUUGAAAACUAUGUUCAAAUACGAAUCCAAUGAUAUUGUUUUUGUUGACAUGCACUAACAUUUUGUCAGUUAAAUCUUCACUCAAAUUCAAUGGGGGAUAAACCACAACCGAUGUAGUAAACCAUGACCGAGUACUACUGUAGAGGGUGGCGCUGCACGGGAGUCUCACCCCACUCGUGGUGCGAUAGUAAAGUCGUCAUAUCACAAAACCCAACCACUCCCAGUAAUAAGUGGCCUGGUAAAAUAAAUGGACAAGCAACCAUCACAUCCCUCCAUCUUUUUUGCAUUUCAUCUCUCUACAUUUACUUUCUCCGGUUCAUCUCGCACACUCGAUCCCUUGCUUCUACUCCUAGUAUCCCUAGCUACUACUCUUAGGGCCAGUUCUUUUGGCGGCUUCCCCAGCUUUUCCCAUAAGACUAGUCACAGUGGAGAGUAACAUUAAGGCGCCUCACUCAUUUAUUUGGGCUUCUAAACUACUACUUGUAGUACCUCCGUUCUGGUUUAUUCCUCACCAUUGUAAUUUUUGCUAAAUUUUAACCAAAGAUAACAUUUCAUUAGUUAAAUUUAUGAUCAAAAUUUGACACAAAUUACAAUGGGGACCAAUAAACCAGGACGGAGGUAGUAGUUAUGGGAUUACUAAUCUAGAAGCCUAAAUGAACUGGCCCCUGGUACUCCUACUAGUAGUAGUACUCAAGUUGGAAUUCCAAUUGCACGGCACAACUUGUUAGGCAAAAAAAUUGAUACAGGGUGUAGGAAGCGGUUUGGGAAUUUGCAUGCCUUUCGGACCAGUGAGAUACUUCGUACAAAGUAAGACAGAGAAAUGACCACAAAGAAGGAAGCUAAAAGUAAACAAUCAAAUGAGCAUUUUUGCAUUUUUUUUGUAUUGAAUCAUUUCACAAGCUUGACUAGUGAUGUUUUUCUACUUUUACAAAAACCGCAUCGUAAUGUUAAAACGUGCAUUUGCACGUACAUAAGUAAUAGUAGUACUCCCUUCGUCUAGGUGUAUAAGUCUCCCCUCCUUCUUGGUCACGGUGCACAACCAAAGAUGACUUAUUGACCUGUACGGAGGGAGUAGCACAGUCUGCAAGCAUAUAUAGAGAGAGACGUGUAGUGCGGUAGUAUAUAGUAAAGUUUGUGCUAUAUGCACGUACUUACAAAUGCGUACGAAUACAAAAGGUUUCCAAACUUUCCCUUUUACAUACUUAAUUAAGGACGCUAAUAAUUCCCGAAUGUUCAGGAUUUAUCAUUUGCGUCCCAAAACUUAUGAGAUCGCCUUACGAAACAAAAAUUAUACUCCUACUAAAAGCCACGGCGCUCGUAGGAACGCUUGCAGCGCGCCAUGAGUGCCCUGGGGCGCGGCUGUUUCCCAGCGCGCUGACACAACGCCUCUUCCUCAGCAUCGCAACUCGCGAGGUGCUGAUUGGCGGCUUGCCAGCGGGCGAGCGCGAUCUCACCGGUGUGGUGAUCCGGCGCCAGCAGGUACUCCUCCCCGCUGGAAGCGUGCACCCGGUCCACGUACUGCCAAGCGUAGAUGAGGUGCUUGGGCCCUUUGCCACCCUCACGGCCCUCGCACGAGCCUUUUGCCAAAGAGCUAAUUGCCUGACUCUCUCGGACGCGACAUAGGCCUGCCAGGCAGCUUGUUCCGCGGUGCGCUUCUCUUCCUCGGCCUUCUUCUCCGCCUCUAUUUUGGCGCGCUCUGCUGGAGGCAAAGCCUCCCACAAGGAGACAUCCAUUUCUUUCCAAAGCUCCUCAGGGCUGGGGGGCUCGGCGGCCGGCGCGGCGUUCUCCUUGUAGCGGGGAGCCGACGCGUCCUCCGAUGCGCGUGCUGGCGAGAUUGGGAACGCCGACGCAUCCACCUCAAUGCGUCACGGCGAGGAGCGGAACACCGACGCGUCCUCCUUGACUAGUAGUGGCAAGGAAUGGAACGACGACGCGUCCACCUCGAUGCGUCGCGGCGAGGAGCGGAACACCGACGUGUCCUCCUCGACUAGUGGCGGCGAGGAAUGGAACAGAAAUGCGUGACCGUCCGCACGAUGCAGUGAGGGGCGCCUAGGGCCUGGGAGGGGCGAUGCCAUGGUGGUCGAUGUGAGAGGGAGGGGGAGGAGAUAGCGAUGAACGUGAACAUGAGAAAUAGCGAUGUCGUGGGAGGCGCAGUAUUUAUAGCGAGCAAUGGCACACCUACAUAAGAUAUGGAAUGAGAUGCACUGACUUAACUGCAGGUCCAGUUGCGUCACUGACAUGUGGGCCAGACCCCUGUUGGGCCCAUAUGUCAGUGACCCAAUGCACCUGCAGUUAAGUAACUGAAGCAGCAUCCUCGAAGAUAUGUUGCCUGUAACAGCUACGUUGGCAUAUUUGUUGGAGAAAAUUACGGGGGAGGGAAGGGGUGGAAAUAUUGCUGGUCACAAUGGAUUGGACGAGCUCGGGGGGAGGAGAGUUAUGCAUGCAGAUUUUUUCCACAGGGGGUGGAGCGGUGGGACCGCCGGAGGGAGAAGGAGAGUCUGGCAGGCAUAUUGUUUCCACACAUGGAGAGGAAAAGAUUUGGAGACGAACGGGCUUCCUGCAGGUAUGGGGAAUGGUGCAUAAUAAGUCUCAUCUUGCAUGCCGGGCUAGGUAUAGUCUCAAGUCAUUAAAAACAUACACGCCCCACACAUGUUCAUAUUUCAAGGUGCACUAAAUUAUUGCAUGUGAUGAUUAAGGUUGGCCAUAAUCGUGGUAUCUUAGCUGGUAUCAUGCACACGGGAAUAGAAAACAUGCUGAUGUGGCAAAGAAUUAAAGAAGAGAGGGGGGUUAGAGUAAUUAGUGUCCAUGCAUGCAUUGGUAAACACAUUUUUUGUGAAGAACUACAAAAACUAUUCCACCACCUCGAUAUCUUGCUAAGAGUAGGUGAAAUUUUUGAAUCGAGCCCUUUAAACUAGAAGGGAGGUAGUAGUACUCUAAUAGCUAACCUUGGACCUGUUUAGAUCCAUGUGUUAGAGUUAGUUUGGGUUAGUUUGAACUCAACUAACCCAAAAAAAUCUAACCCACCCAAGAGGUGCUUAUUUGGGUUAGUUCUUCUCGGGACACUAAAAAACACAUUUUUCUCUCGCUCUCCCCGCAGGAGAUCCCUCCCCACUUCCUCGAAGCUUCUCCUCCUCUCCCUCCCUCCCUCCUUCUUGCACCGCCCAUGAAGGAACCUCGCCGUAUUCGCGCUCCAUCUAACCCUAUCAUCCAAACACCUCUUUCGCUAGAGUUACUUCAGGGUUAGUUCAAGAUUAGAAUCUUUAACUCAUCUAACUCAUCUAAUAGUAGUUCUUAUAUUCAUUAUAAUCAGUAUUGUAGAUAUUAAUAUUUUUAGUAUAAAUUUGGUCAAACACUUUGCAAACGGUUGACGGAAGUAAAAAGGACCAUAGGGAGUAUCAUGCAUGGGGAGUAGGCAUAAAAAUUGCUCAUUUAUAGCCGGUCGAAGUCUCAAAGGGCGCAACCGCGCGAGGGAGGCGAAGGUCGUGGGAGGCGCGACGGUUGACGGAAUUAAGUGAAGUUACCCACGCGCCGACAUGACGUGCGAACAGGCAGAAGCUAUACCAUCAUGCCUACGAUAUGGGUCUAGUAGACAUGACAUCUAGUGGGUCCCGCAUAGUUCUUGAGAACUCUUUGGGGGCUUGCAGCCGUUUAUCCACCGGGCAAGCCAACAACCCCACGUCGUUAGCAUGCCCUACUUGUCCCCGUCUUCUACUAGUACAAUACCUUACAACAGUUCGCUCCUAGUCGUCCCGUCCUUUCACAUUACACCAAUUCAACUUCUCCUAACCCUCCUCCAAAAUCCAUGGCCUCCCAAAUCUCCAUGGUCGCCGUUGAGUACCAGGUUAGAGCCAUCACCGGUGAUGAGUUUUUUGUCAUCUACACACGUGGAUCCACGACGGUGAAAGCAUGCCUUGCUCGCUUCCUACGCAUGCUAGGAAGAGGGGCGAGGACAAAGUCAAGGACAUGGACUCGGACUCCGAGUAGGUGGCAGUGCCGUCGCUCAUGUUGGUUCUGCUGUAGUGUCAAGCGGACUAGUUGCUUAGUUUAUUUUCAAGGGUGUGUUGUGCUGAGGCCCCAGCAGAACUAUGUUUAUGAUCUUUCUCGUUAUUUUAACUCUUUAGUAUGUACAGUAGUACUAGUACUAUGUCUUACUACUGUUCUUCUUGCAGUUGGUACUACUGCUCCUAUCUUCGUGUUCCUAAUGUACUUAAUACGUUCGUACUAGUAGUAUAAUUUGGGUCAGUCGAUUUGUGAAAUAAGUUCAACGGAGUGAAGGAAGUAGACAGCAUAGAAGCUACCCCAGUAUCUAUAUUAGGGUGGCAGGGUGCCCAUGAUCUAUCUUAUGAGUGUUGGGUGUGGAAUGCAGUUCGCCGGAAAAAAAUGGAUAGUGCCCGGGGGUAAACGGAUGGCGGGGGUGGGGGAGCAUGGCGGUAGCAGGCAGUUCAGGGGAGGGCGCGGUGGCGGCGGUAGGCGGUUAGGCGUGUGGCGGGCUGAGAAGAUGAACUGUGCAUCAAUUUCGGAGGUUGAAGAAGCCCUUCUAGCCAUCCAUGUUGCAUCAAACGGCUCACAAGAGUCGACUGACCCACAUUGCUCAUUCAGAUUGCAGGAUCCACGUGGCAUUCAAGGUCUCGAAGGUAGAUUCCAUGUCCGAACCCGGUUUGCGGGCUCGACACGCGCGCGACCGGCUUCCGCCACGACAGCCACCAUGCGCGCCUCCUCCGCGCGGGCGGAGACGACAAUGACACGCUGGUCCUCCUCGUCGGCGUGCUGGAGCAUGCGCUCGUCCUCCUCUUUGUACGCUGCGUGCAUAGACGCGGCUCCACCAGCUGCUCGCGUGCUUGGCAGCGCGGCGGCAUCACGAGGAGGGACUACAGACGACGUGAGCGGGCGAGCCUUCGGCUUGGCGGUGAUGGGCGAGAAAUUGUUGGCCGUAGUAGGCGGGCGUCGGCAGGCGCAACGGCGCCAGGGGCAUAUUGAUGAGUGCGCGUAUGGGAGCUUAGUUUAGUUUUAUAUAGGGUUGGUCAAACUUAAAAAAACAGUACUAGUACACGUAAAAAUUAGACUUAGGCAUCGGUUAUAUUAGUUACCACAGCCACGAUACAGAAUCCUGCGCAAGCGCGUGAACCGCGGCCGCGCGGUCGAUCGAACGGUGUGUCACCAUGUCGCGCUCGAAGGACAUCCACCAAACCUUUUUAUGUGUGUGAAAACAAUCCCCGAAUAUUACUCAACUUUUUUUUCCGGAAAAGUUCUUGACGCUACAAUAUUUCCAUAUAUUUGAUUUUAGCUCCAGUUCAUGUUUAUCUGGAUUUGGACGUUUUAGGUGCACCCUAGUUUUUUUAAUACUAAUUUUGUGUGUGUGACUGAGAGAGAAUGUGUGUAUGUGUCCAUAUGUGUGUUGUGGUGGAAGGGAAAUGUGGAUACAGUGUGCGUGUGAUAGAGACAUAGAGAGGUGUGAAUGUGCAAAUAAUCAUGCACGAGUGAGACAUAGACAGAUGCCGAUACGUUGUGUACUUGUGUAUACAUGAGAGAACAGUCUUAUAUUUUACUUGUGUGUGUGUGUGUGUGUGAGGGAGAGAAAGGAGCAUCUGUAACACAACAACCAUCUCUCUCGAUGCGUCCGUCCCUCGCACGAUCGCAUGUAACACAUGCAUCAACGCGCACAUUUUGACACCCUCACCCGGCCCCUGCCCACCUCAAGGUCCGCACAUCGCUCUCUAUCUCAGACGCACAUUCUCUUCAUGAAUACCCUGUUUAGCAUGUAGCUUUCCGUCACAUACACACACAUUUCUCUUCGUGAAUACAUCUGACACACAUACACACACAGCACACACACACACCCCCUCCCCCGAGCACACAAUUCAUCCCCAUCCAAGGUUAUAUGGCGACCACUCUCGCUUGUGCUUCUCUGCACCCCAGCAUGCACAACACCUCAAUCUUCAAAGAGGGCAUCGAGGAGAUUGAAGACGGCAACCACACUGCGCUAGAGAAUGCGGGGCCAUUUGGAAGCAGGAUUAUGUGACGACGGCUGAGUGACUCCUCCCCCACCCUCUCUCUCUC